AAUGUAUAAGACACUCGUCCAGUGGGGGUUGCACAGGCUUACCUCUCUUAGAAGCCUCGACAUUUUUGGAUGUGAUGAUGAAGCAGAGUGUUUUCCAGACGAGGAGAUAGGAAUGACGCUGCCCACCUCUCUCACUCAUCUGCACCUUUUUGAUUUCGAAAAAUUGAGAUCUCUGUCUUCGACGGGUUUUCAGAGCCUCACCUCUCUUCAAUCUUUGGAUAUCUGGUUUUGCCCAAAUCUCACAUCAUUCCCAAAGGUGGGCUUUCCAUCCUCACUUGUGGAAUUACGCAUUAGAGAUUGUCCAAAGCUUAAAAAAGCGUGCAAAAGAGAUCAAGGAAAAGAGUGGCCCAAAAUUGCUCACAUCCCUUGCGUUGAGAUAGACGAUAAAUUCAUAUACCAUCCAAAAUCAGAGGUGUAGAGUGUAUUAUUAAGGUCAGUUGAUUUAUGUUAUCCACCAUAACAAGCUCCUCCUUUUUUUUUAAAUAAUAAUUUUGCAGUCACUCGCGUGAUUCCGUUUUCACAAGUCAGAUUGUAUGUUGAGGCUAUUUGCCUUUUAAUCGCAGAUUAAAUUAUAACACUUAUCUUAAAAUUUAAUACCAUAGACAGAUAGACGAUUUUUUAAUCCAAAGUUUUUUUAUUCACUUCAGUUAGCAUUUUUUUUUUCCCCAAAUCAUGCAAGCCGAGAGUUUCAAUCAACAGAAUUUUAUUCACUCAUUGACUUUUCAACUGCUGUGGUUAUUUAUGGGUGAAAGAUAAAUUUCUUAGAUGGUAGAUAUAUCGACAUUUUAGAUUUCAGAUAUUUGUCACCAAUUUCAUUCCUUUUUUUAAAAUUUUUUUUAAGCAAGUUUGACUAAUUUUAACCAGAAUUGGAGUAUAAUAUUUUGGAGCAAGCAUACUUGAAAUUUCUGUCUUCAAUUUUUUUGAUGCUUUUUUAAUUUUGAUCUAGUAAAAAUACAUAGCCUUCACCGGCAGGAUUCUAGUCUUGGCUUUCACCUCUCUAACUCAUCUGUCCCUAUUGGGAUUCCAGAAAUUUAAAUUUCUGUCUUCAAUGGGUUUUCAAAGCCUCACCUCUCUUCGAUUUUUGUGGAUUGGGAAUUGCACAAAUCUCACAUCAUUUCCCGAGGUCGAGGAAAAGAGCGGCCCAAACUAUCAGCGGUGUUGAUUCUCUUAUUAAGGUCAGCUGAUUUCUAUUAUCCACUCUGACAAUCUCCUAUUAGUGUUUUUUUUUUAAAAAAUUUGCAGUUCUGUAUAAUUGAAAUGCCACUCACUUGUUUCCUUCUUCACAGGUCAGAUAGUAUGUUAAAGCUAUUAGUGCUGCCUCAUAGGUUGAUUACUCACAGAUGAAAUCAUAACUUUUAUCUUAAAAUUUAAUAGCAUACACAGAUAGACGAUUUUUAGUCCAAAGUUUUUUUUAUUCACUUCAAUCAAAAUUUUAGAUUGCAGAUUUUUGUCGAGUAUUUUCAUUCCAAUUUUUUCAUUUUUUAUUUUAAACCAGAAUUGGAGUAUAAAAUUUUGGAGCGCGCAUACUCUGAUGCAUGCAAUUAACUGUUUUUAAUCGUUGGAUUUUGAAAUUAAUGAUGGUAAGAUGUGUACUUAUUCUUUCUUCCAACAACCUUGCCUUCUUUCUUCGGUCGCAUAUCUAAUGAAUAUUUCUCUGUUUAGUUAAGGAUGAAUGCUUGGAGUGGGGUACUUGGUAACAUUUCUGCCUUAGAUGAAUCCUUGAAGAAAUGCCCGCAGUUCCUGAGACCAAAUACAGGUCUGAUUCAAAACAGCACCUUUCCCAGAAAAUAUGAUCCAAGGCAAAGUCAUGUUCUGAUAAUGUUUCCUUAAGUACUAAGUUGCAAGGAAACUUGAUUCAUUAACUACAGUUUUUUAUUUUUAGGACCUUGUAUCUGAAAGGUUCAGUGUUUUUUUUUUUCAAAUUUAUUGUUCAGAUCUCAGAGGAGUAUAUGGUUUAGAUUACAAAACACCCAUGAUUAAUUUCAUUUUUUUUUUAAUUUCAGGGAGAAGAAGUGGUCAGUUUCAAUCCGGAAUUGGAAUAUGGCAAUUUGGUUCAAGCAAACACACCUGGUCACUUGGUCAGUGGUCACUUGGUCAGCGAACCUGAACUUUACGCAGUUUUUUCAACUCAGUGAUUUUUGGAACGCAUAUUGGUGUAAGGAAAUCAAAAGAAAUUUAUGCAUUGUCAAAUUCUGAUAUUUGCUAUAUAUUAUACAUUCUAAAGUUUCUCCAGUUUGUUCUCAGAUUACCAUCAUUUUUUGCUUUCACCAACCAAACAAAAACAAAAUGAGUGGCUUUCCGGUGGAUAUUUAAUCGGAGGUAUGACUGGAUUUUUUUCACUUCUGUAAAUCUUGCAUUUUAAACUGGCAAAUUUAACUUUAAUUUUAAUAGGACUUUGUUGGUACCUUGUGUUCCAGAAACUAGAAAGAUGUGUAGUUUUCAGAUAAAGGGGCUUGUAAAUUCUCUAGUAAGAAUCCAAUAAUUUGCUUUUGCACGUUCAUUUUAUUUGUGGAUCCUUGCAUCUGAAUUUGAUCAAUCCAAAAGGAAUUGCUUUUAGACAGAAGAAGAAUAGCAGUACCUAGCCUAUGACAUAGUAUAUGGACCUGCAAACCUGAAACUAUUAGUUUGAGGUAAAAAAUUCAUGACCCUCACAUGUUAACUUCUUCUAGUUACUUUCAUGAAAAACACAUUUAAGAAAUUUGCAAUUUUUUGUUAGUUUCGUAUCCGAUGUUGUUUUCUGUUUUAGCAUUUGUAGAAUCUACUGUAUUAUAUUUUGGCAGUUGCAGUAUCUGAGGUAUGUUUUGCAUUUAACUUGCUUUGUUUGUUUUGCUUGUGACUUAAGAACACCAAUAUUUGCCAGAGAUUUAGAGAAGCAUAUCAAGAUGCUUGGCAAACUUGACAAACUUCAAGAUCCUCCAUUCUUCACAACGCAAAACUUGUGAGUACACCUAUGCCCGCAAUUAUUGUGAAAUGCUUGCAAUUUUGAUGCACUGAAAUGGUUUGUUGAUGCAAAGGUUUAAACUUUUAAGAUUCACCCUGCAGGGUAGUUGGAUGCUGUAUAAUCGAAAAGCGACCAACAUCAAGAAUUAUGACUCCAAGACCGGGUUUGCAUUAAUUCAAUCAGCUGAAAUCAUGAUGCAAAUGACACUAUCAGCUGGACUUAGAGACCAGUCAGAUCAAUCAUCCUUUUAUCAACAGUUAAUGUCAUGAUGGUGGCUAUCGGAGGAAACAAAGGAUGUGUCGGAAUCAAUAUGAACAGUGAGAAGAAUGAGAGGAGCUUUGAUUACAAGUAGGCUCAAUGAACUCAUGCUGGUAAGUGGUAAUUAAAGAAAUUUGUACGCUUAGUAGAGUUUCAAUAUUUUCUGUUUGGGAUAUAGUUGAUAAUUUGAUACUCUGAUUAAGAAGCCUGAUUAUAGUAGCUGACUUUUUUUUUGUGGUUUGCUGUUGUUUAUUCUUUCGAUUAAUUUCAACAUUAGGUUGAUCUGUUGAAGAACAAACUUGGGUUUGAUUAUGCUUUAACUACAAGGAAGAGCCAGGCUUGGAUGCAGGCGUUCAGCUUUUAAUGGGUAAGAACAUAUGUAUGCUUUAACCAUGUUUCUCACUUAUUACAAUGCAUGCAUUGAAGGCAUCUGAGCUGAUCCUGAAAAUGUGAUGGAAAUACUUCUCUGUUUACAUAAAACAGGACAAGAGAUCUCUGAUCAUGCCUGAGAAUUCGUUGCAUUUAAAAUUUCUACCAUUGCCAAAAAUAGAAUAAACUAGGGAUAGAUUAGCUUAAGACUCAAUUUUGAGAAGGAAGUUUGCACAUGCAGCCUAAAAAAUCAUGUCCGUGUUGUAUACUUGUAUGUUUCUUUGGGAAAUGAAAGAUUCUGUGUGUUCUUUUGUUUCAAGUUUGCUGAAAUCACAUUUGUUUUCUUAGAUGCUUUUGGGAAGGUAACAACAUCAAUUUCAUAAAUGCUGGGGUAAGAUGCAUCACGCAGUGCUACUCAACAUGAGAAUUCCCGGCCGCAUUACCUGUAUGUUGAGUGAUCGCACAGUACAACCUUUAGAAGCUUGUAAGGAGUAGACAACUAGAUGCGAAUAGUUUCAAUAUGGAUUCGCAUCAAAUGAUCUCUUGCCAGUGAUUACUAUAACCCCUAUCCCAAAAUUCUUGGCAUUGGUCAUACCAAUAAUGAAGUAUUGUGUACGUUGAAGACAUAGCUCAAGGCCUUGCGAAAGCUCCGUCAGCCUUUGUAUUGGAAAACAGUUGGUUGUAGUUGCUUCUGAGUGAUAUUAUUAAUAGAUACUGUAAAAAUGAACUGUGCCACUCAUUUUCAGAGCCCUGUUAAGAUGUGUUGGUAAUGUGUUUGAAGGUUGUUUGAUUUAUGUUGUAUUCAGCUACAAAUCAAAGAUUCAGAACAUGGUUAUGUUACUGGUUUCCAAAUCAAAAAAAUGCCUUGUGAUGUUAGUGUUCAUUUUUUUCACAGGAGAUCAGGUUCCCUGUUGAUGAAUCAAGAAGGCAAACGCAUCCAUGUCUUAAGUUCAAAUGUGUCUCUUCUAUUUUCUAUUACUGACUCCUUUAUUUUGAUUUCUUCAUUGUAAUGGAAUUGGUUUUUUAUUCCAAAUUAGUCAAAACCUCCUAGAGUCAUUAAGUUCUGUUAGCAUUUGAAGAUAGAACUAGAACUAAAUGAUUGACUGGAUUAAAUUCCGAUAAAGAAUUAAGUUAUAUAUUUAGAGAUAUUAUGUUUUUUUUUUUUUCAUUUGUUCAAUUUGGUUAGUGGUGAUUUCUUAAAGACUCAAUCCAUGUGCGUUUAUGCAUUUUUCUUUUGCCUUAAUUUCUGUUUCUUGGGGAGUUUAUACAGAUUCUUAUUUUAUGCUUCACAUGCCACAUGAAAGAUCGAAGCCUUUUGUGUGAUUAGAACUGACUUGCAUCACAGUAACUUUAAAUCACUGCGACAUUUUUAUAAUAACAGUCUGAGAUCUCCCUGCAGGAUUCAAAGCAUUUUAUUUUAUAUUAAACUCCUUUACGUGGGUUUGGACACUACCACAAGUUCUUUAAAUACUAAAACGAUUUUAAGUCUUUUGUAUCAUCUGAUUUAAAUACAUGAAAGCACUCGUGGCUGCAAAAAUACAGUUGGGGCUAUUUCUAAAGUCUUCAACAGCAUUUUCUUUUUAACCUUUAUCCUCAUGGUUGUUUUUGCAGUUGUUCUUUAAGAAAACAUUUAAAAGGUUCUCUUUAUGGAUUUUUGAAAAUAAUUUUAACAUGAGCAAUUUUCAGAAGCACUUUAGAUGUCUGGCAUUUAGGAAAUUUUAUUUCGGUGUCACAUAAAAUACUUAGGAAGUUAAAUUUAUUUAUUUAUGAGCAUGUGCCAGUGCCCAGUGGCAUCCUCUUCACUUGUGAUAGUCAAAUGUAUUAUACGAUACAAUAUUAGCUUGACUGUAGCACAGAGGAGAAUAGGGUUGGUGUUGGUCUGAACCAGCUUAUGUAACAGCUGCCAAAGGAUAAUUUAAUUGUACUUUGAGUAAAGCUUUUGCGAAUUAAACAAGUGAUAAUUUGUUUUUAUUAAGAAAAACUUAAGGAAUUAGGCUAUUUUAACUGACCAAAUUACACAUUAAAAAUUCAUUUACAAAAAUAGUUUUUAGUUAUUAAAAUAUUCCUAAAUUAAAUUAUAAUUAUGGACACUAAAAUAUUUUUUUUAUAUUUUACUCUUUGAAACUGUCUUUAUAUUCGAUAUUAUAUUUUUUUCUUAAACUCUAAAUUGAUUUUUUUUUUUGAUUAAUUUUAAAACACCUAUAAAGUGAUUCAUAUUGAUUUUAUACUAACAAACUAUUAUAGCACAUUCGAAAAAUAAUUAAAUCGUUCUUAUUUACAUAGUGAAAAUGCAAAUAGCUCGUUCAAAUGUUAAGGAAUUGGAGAGCUGCUGCUGGAGAUGAAAGAUGUGAAUUAAACAUCAGAAAAAAAAUUAUGUUUACUAUCUUGCCAGACCAAGCACCGAAAAGCAUCGUAAAGAAAAAUUAGAUAAUUUAGAAGAUAAAGCACGUGGAAUGGAGGCAGAAAGCAAGUAAUGAUAACUCUUUCGACAAACUAAUAUAUACCAAAAUGCAAUAUCAAAAAUGAAAAUAAAAAUUCAUUACGAAUACGUGUUAAAGAUAUCCCAAGUAUAGAUGUGACUGAAAUAUUUGAGAUUGAAGAAGAAUUAAGACUCAAAAUCAAUUGGGAGGAAUAAAUGAGAAACCUCAAUACCAAAAAAUACACGCGCAAAUCCUAAUACUAAUUGUAAUUGCAGAUAAAUAGCAUAAUACGAAUAAAUUCCAUGGGCAACUAUUUCAUUGAGAAAUUAAUUAAAUCGUGUAUUAAUAUUUUGUAUACAUAUAUUUUUCUAUAUAUGACUUUCGGUAAUUUAAUUUUCCACUUAUCAUUUUUACUCCAAAAAAAUAAUUGAGAAUAUUAUUUAUGUUUUGGUGCAAAAUAUUUGAACAAUAUACAAAUUUUCAGUUUAAUAAAUCUAAACAUCUAUUAAGUUAUAAAUGAAUUUAAUGGGUUUAAUUAAUAAAAUUACUAUUAUUAUAUAAAUUGGAUUUAGUAAUGGUACAUUGGGUGGGUUUGUUGAGUAAAUUUUAAAAUUUUGAAAUUUAAGGAUGGGUUUAUUUAGUAAAUGAGUUAAGGGAGUAGUUUGUUGGGAUUCACAUAACGCCACCAAAUUCAAAUGUAAAAUUUAUGGAAAAAGAAGCUAUUGAGUUAUUCUUUUUAAAAAAAGAAUUAAAAUGUCAAGAAUACCUUUAUUUAAUUUUAUAAUCUUAUUUUAUAGUCAUAUUUUAUUUCCACCUUAACAUAAUUUUAAAAAACCUUAACUAAUAAAUUCUAUAUUUUUUUUAUAAAAGUUAUCAUUAAUAUCCAAACGGCUAAAGAUUUUUUUUUUUAAAAAAAAAGAAACUAUGCUUACAAAAGUUGUAUACAUUAACAAUAAAUUUAGUCCAAAGAAUAAAGUUAUUCCAAACAAGCACUCCUAUUCAUCUUGCUAAUGAAUCAAGAUGACUGAAUCCAUUCUCUAAGCCAAAUCUAUUUUCACUUCUAGGUCAGAAAUUGUCAUUAAAAAAGUGUUUGAUAAAAUAUGCUCUGGGAACACUAAUUCGUCAGAUGGUUACUCCAAGUUUAUGAAAUCAAUGGGGUUUCAUCAUAUUCAUAACAUUCUUCUUUAAUGUCUAUUCUAACAAAGAAAUUACUAGAAAACUUUUACUAGAAAAACUAACCACAAUUCAUCAUUCAUUUAUAUCUUAAGUAAGCGUAAGAUUUUAUCAUUAAAAUCUCAUCAUGAAAAAACUCAUGGGAGAAAAACUAUAAAAAUUGAAGAAAAAAGAGUAUGGCGUGCAUGUAAAUUAUAUCGAUUUUAUCUAUAUGACAAAUAAGACUCUCUUUUACAAUGGCACGGAUGCUUCAUUGAGUAAUCAUGAUUCUUGCUGGUAGUGCUUUGUUGUAUCAAUCUGCUAGCUAUUCAGCUUUCUUUCUUUCUUUCUUCUUUUUAUUUUUUUUGUUUUCAAAUAGCUUGUGGUUGUAGAAAUAUUUCAAUUAAACUAUACUUAAGUACUUAUUUGGUAUAACUUCUUUACUAGCCAAAAGAUUUUUUUUUUGGUUUUUUAUAAUUUAAUUAUACUUUAACUAGAGUUUUUGGGAUUAAACAAGUGAUAAUUUCUCUCUGUUAAGAAAAACUCAAACGGUAGGGUUAUCUCAAUCCACCAAACUAUUUAUUAAAAAUCCACUUAUGAAAAUAAUUUUUAAUUAUUAGAAUGCCUCUAAAUUAAAUUACAAUUAUAGACACUAAAAUAUAGUAAAAAAAAUUUUUUUUUACUCUUUAAAACUGUCUUUACAUUCGAUAUCAUAUCUUUUUCUUAAAAUCUAAAUUGAUUUUUUUUUUAUUAAUCUCAGAACACAUAUGAAGUGAUUCAUAUUGGUUUUAUACUAACAAACUAUCAUAGCACAUUCGAAAAUAAUUAACUCGUUCUUAUUUGCAUAGUGAAAAGGCAAAUAGUUCAUCCAAAUGUUAAAGAAUUGGAGAGCUGCUGCUGGAGAUGAAAGAUGUGAAAAGCAUGGUAAAGAAAAAUUACAUAAUUCUCACUUAGAUGAGGAAGAAAAAAAAAAGAAUACAAUUAGAAUGAGAGGUAGCCAAUAGCCACUAGCCGCCGCCACCGCCACCAGUGAAACUAUUUCACAUAAUAGAAGAUAAAGCACGCGUAAUGGAGGCAAAAAGCAAUUAAUGAUAACUCUUUUCGACACACUAAUACAUAUCAAAAUGCAAUAUCGGUCCUAACAAAAUGAAAAUAAAAAUUCAUUACGAAUAUGCGUUAAACAUAUCCCAAGUAUUGAUGAUGUGAUUGAAAUAUUUGAGAUUGAAGUAUAAAUAAGACUCAAAAUUAAUUGAGAGGAAUAAAUGAGAAACUCUAAUACUAAUAAAAUACAUUCACAAAUCCUAAUGCUAAUUAAAAUCACGGAUUAAAAAAAAUAAUAUGAAUGAAUUACAGGCGCAACUGUUUCAUUAAGAAAUUAAUUAAAUCGUGUAUUAAUAUUUUGUACACAUACAUUUUUCCAUAUAUAACUUUUGGUAAUUUAGUUUUCCACUUAUCAUUUUACUCCAAAAAAAUAAUUGAGAAUAUUAUUUAUGUUUUGGUGCAAAAUAUUUAAACAACGUAUAAAUUUUCAGUUUAAUAAAUCUAAACAUUUCUCAAGUUGUAAAUGAAUUUAAUGGGUUUAGUUAGUAAAAAUGCUAUUAUUAUAUAAAUUGGGUUUAGUAAUGGUAUAUUGGGCAUUUAAAUGGGUUUGUUGAGUAAAUUUUAAAAUUUUAAAAUUUAAGGGUGGGUUUAUUUUAGUAAAUGGGUUAAGGCAGCAAUUUCCCAAACUAAAAUUUUUAGAAAAAGAGGCUAUUUAGUUUUUUUUUUUAAAAAGAAUUAAGAUGUUGAGAAUACCUUUAUUUACUUUUAUAAUCUUAUUUUAAAAAAUUUACCCAAUAAAUUUUAUAAUUUUUUACAAAAAUUAUCAUUAACAUCCAAACAGCUAAAGAUUAAAAAAAAAAAAAAAGAAGGGAACUGUACUAGCAAAAGUUAGAUUAACAAUAAAUUUAGUCCAAAGAAUAAAGUUAUAGCUAAAAAGUGCUCCUAUCCUAUUUUUCUCUAUUUUAACAAUAAUCUUCCAAUCCAUUUUACAAUGGACUUAACAAAUGGGCUCAAUCUCUAAACUUCAUUUUCUUUUGCUAACCCAUGGCCAUUAGCCAGAAAGCCUAAAACAAUUUUAGGAUCACAUGUGUAAAUGGAACUCCAAGAUUGAUCAAGAAUUAACAAGACAAGAUGAAGAGAUGAUCUUGUAACUAAGAAUGAAGAAAUUGAAUCAAGACAGUACUCUAGUAAAACCCAGAAAACAGAGCUUGAAGAAUCACGCACAAAGCAGUAAAUUUGUAAAACCAGAAUUGGAGCUUCACUUCUCAAGAUAGACGAAACAGGAUACAAUCUAGCUUUGGUCAACUUCGUUUGGCCACGUCAUAAAGUCUUCCCCCACAGUCUUUCCCGCCAAAACAGAAAAGCUUUAAAAGCCAUUUACCCUCCUGAGUUACUUGCUCCUAUUACAUCAAGGCCCUGUAAGUCUAUAUUUAUUAUUACAAAAGCACCCUUAAACCGAGAUUUGAGAUAUUUUUUCAAAGAUCGAAGCGCAUGAUUUCACGGCUAUGUUGCAUAGUGAAUUUUAGUGCUUUACAGUUAAGGGAUAGUUUAAAUUCAUUACAAAGCAUUCGCAAAGAAAUUGUUUUUAAAUGAAACUCCUCGUCUUGACCAGAUUAUUUAUUAUUAUUAAAAAAAAAUGUUCAAAACUUAGCCAAAGUGAUAAACUCGUAAUUAUUCUACAAAGGGAACAAUUUUGAACGGUGGGAAAUUCCAUAAUUAUGCUUUUCUGUGAAUUAUUUUAAAUAAAAUUAUAAAAAUUAAUAUAAAAUUAUAAUAAUGAUAGAGCCACAAAUUCUUGUACAAAUUUAUUUUAUACAAACUCAUGUGGCAUGAUAAGAUUGGUUGAAUUAAAUAUUACUUGGCCCACAUGAUUUGUUUUUAUUAUUUUAUAUUUUUAUUCAACCAAUAAAUUAAUACCACGUCAGUUUGUACAAAAUAAAUUUAUACAAAAAUUUGUGACUCGAUCAUCACUCAUAAAAUUAAUACCCGGUAAAGACUGUAGAGAGACAAGUGCCCCCAACAGAAUCAAGUGAAUAUGCCCCACAAAGAUCACAUGAUCAUUUCUGUUCUUUUUCUUUUUGAUAAUUUUAUCUGUGGUUUCAACUUUUAUGCUUUAUUGUCGUAUCCCGUUGAGGGCUCCGCUGCACCCAUUACAACUUACCCCUAAAUUGCCUCUUACUAACUAAACCGUUAGAUUUUAUGGAAGCACGUUCAAUGUUGAAUUUUAAUUAUGUCAUCGAAUUUCGUUUAGCUCCUUAAACUCCAUUUUAUUUGUAAUUUCUUCAUAAAAUAUUCAAAGCUUCAUCAAGCUCCUGAUGGACCAUCAUGGCUAGGGGUGCAUUAGAGCCGAACUGAAAUAUGUUAGUUCAGUUCAGUUUGGUCAGUUUAAAUCGAAUGGUUUAGAAUAUAUAAACUGAUCAAUUUUAAUUUUGAAUUGAACCGAACCGAAAAUCAAUUGGUUCACUAUUAGUAUUUUUGUAUAAACAAGAAUGAUUAGUGAUUAUAAUUAAAUUGGACUAAAAAAAAUUCAAACUAAGGUGAAAAAUAUCAAAUCUUAGACAAUAUAAAAAAAAAUAUUAAAUUUUUUUAACCGAAACGAACCGAAUUAUUUUGACUCAGUUUGGUUCAUAAUUUUUUAAACCAAACUGAUUUAUUCCCACCCCCUAAUCGUGGCUCUCUAUCUUUAGUCAUUCACCCUUGAGUUUGAUGCCAAUUGUUGGGUUUCAAAUGAUUAUACACUCAAAUGGAACCCUCAUAACAAAAAACUAACAGAAACAAUAAGAACACGAUGUUAAAAUCUUAAAUCAAUCGCAACGGUCCUUUUUUUUCCCCAUUCUUGAACCUAAAGUAUUUGAGUAUGCAAAUUAAUAAAUAAAUUCAUUUAUUUUUAUUAAAAUUUUGUAAAAUUAUAAUUUUUAAUAAAAAUAAUUAUUAAAAUUUUGUAAAAUCUAAAUUUAGAAAAAUUCAGUUGGGCACCUCUAUUUGAGAUUUAUUUUUUAUUAAAUUUAGGGAUAUUUUUAUAAUUAUAAUUUUUAAUUUUAAAAGUUUUUAUAAGAUAAAAUAGUCUUUUAAUUUAUUUAGGGGUAAAAUUGAUGUUUUAUUAAAAUUAUUUAAUUGUGUUAAUGCAAAAGUGACUAUUUGAUACAAAUGUGAAAAGAAAGGUGGUGCAAAAUAUAUGUUAAAAUUUUAUAUUGGUUGGAUGAACAUAAGCUAAAAUAAAGGUGGUGCAAUGAUAAUUUCCCUAUCCUAAAACUUAAUUGACUUAAUUCUUAUGGUGCAAGGAAGAGGUUUCCAAGUUUAAAUCUAAAGGCUUGUAUUUAAUUUGGGGUUGGGAAAGCACUGAGAAAUAAAUGUAACUAAGGAAAAAAAAAAAGUCAUGCAGUCCAAAUAAGUAGACAUAUUUAAUAUGAGGUGGGGAUGGGUGAACUGUAAUUCAGAAAAAAUAAAAUAAAAUUUCAUAUAAAGUUGAGGGUGUGUUUUAAUGGUUUCUUAUGCUGCGUUUACUUUUUGGACUAGAGUGAGAAUUCUGAGAAGUGGGAAUCCUGUGAUUAGGUGUGUGGAGUGGGAAUGAGAGUAGGGUAUUUACUUAGACUAAAUAAAAAUAUGGAUUGUCAAUCAGAAUCUCAAUUAUUUGUUACUUUGUCUUGGAUUGAGAGUAAAUUAUUUUAAAUUACAAUUUUAUCCUUAUGUAAAGAAUUAUAAUUUGUAAUUAAAAAAUUAAUAAAAAUAUAUUGGAAAAUAAAAUAAAUAUUUUAUUAUAUUUAUAAAAUAAUAAUAAUUAAUAAAAUUCUUAAUUAUGUAAAUCAUAAUUUUUUAUUAAUUUAAAUUUAAAUUAUGUGAAUAAAAAUUAUUAAUAAUAGCAACACAAAUGAAACAUUAUUAUUGAUAAUAUAGUAUAAAAUUAAUAUUUUUUUAGAAUAAAAUAUUUAUUAUUAUUAAAUAAAUAAAUAAUAUUUAUUAAAAUUAAUGUUUAAUAUUAUUAAUUUAAAUAUAAUAUUUAUUUAUUUUUAUUUUAUUUUAUUAAAUUUAAUAAAAUAAAUAUGUUAUAAUUAUUAUUUUUAAUAAAUAUGACAUUAUUUAUUUUAUUAAAUAUUAUUUAUUUAUUUUAAUUAUGAGGGUAAAAAUAAAAGAGGGGGAGUGGAUUCCCACUCCCACCUCCCCCCAUGGGAGUGGGAAUCCCACUCUCCCCUUAAAAAUGAUAAGUAAACACUAGAAUGGGAAGAAUCCACACUCUACACUUUCUAAAAAAUAAACACUACCUUAAUUUAAAUUGAUUUGUUGGAUAUUUAGCUAAAAUGAGAGUAGCUCUCUAAUAAUUAUUGCAUUAUUACAAACAUAUCCAACGGUUAUAUAUGCUUGCCUGUGGAAAUAAAAGUCCCAAGUUUCUUUGAAAGGUAAGCUAGUGUGAAUGUUUUCAUCCGUGCAACUUACUUGAUGAAUGAAGUUUUCAUCCCUGACCUUGAUGUUUCUGGUGGCUACAAUCAUUUCAGCUGAUCUAUUCCAUUUUGUUAAGGUGAGAAUUUAGAGUGGCUUUAACUGUUAGCAAAUAGCCUAAUGUAAGACUUGAUCAACUUCCUGCCCUGUUGUAUGCUUAUGAAUUUUGAUAGAGUUAUGAGUUUGCAGAAGCUACUGUAUUAUAUGUUGUUAGAGGCUGUAAAAAUGAGGCAGAUCAAACACACAUUUAAAUUUCAAUGACAAUUUACUAGAAGUAAAUUUCCUAUGACCCUCCAGGUGACUAAUCAAUGAGAACUUGACAAUAACAAAAGAAAGUGUAUGAGCUUUGCAGGCGGGCACGCCAAUCUUGACUGCAUGGCACCAUCCGCCAUUUGCAAGUGAAUAUCAUUAUUGUUUAAUCAACAUGGUGGAGUCCACUGGGACCACACCACAUGGUCAGUCUUAUCUCUAUUCCUCAAUUUUCAGUAUUCCAUACAUCAAAACAAUUUCAGUUUUGUUAUCAAUUAUAAUUUCAUUGUUGGAGACGAUUCUGAUUCCUUUCUUUCUGACAAAACGGAACCAUGGUUGCUGUGGGAGAGAUCUUACUCAACGCCUUCUUUCAGGUGUUGUUUGACAGGUUGGCUUCCCGUGAUUUGCUCAGCUUUGUCCGUCAACUUGGAGGCGGGGUCGAUUCCGAGCUCAAGAAGUGGGAAAGAAAGCUGAAGAUGAUUCAGGCGGUGCUCAACGAUGCAGAGGAGAAGCAACAGACUGACGAGGCUGUGAAGAUGUGGCUGGACGAUCUCCAAGACUUGGCUUAUGACACUGAGGACAUUCUUGAUGAGUUUGCUACUCAAGCCUUGGAAAGCAAGUUGAUGGCGCAAAAUCACGAUAGUUCUGGCCAGGUUCUCAGUUUCAUCCCGGCUGGUUUGAAUCCGAAUGCUAUUAUGUUCAAUUAUAGCAUGGGGUCCAAGAUUAAAGAUAUCACUAGCCGGCUGGAGCAACUCUGCCAAGAAAGAAUUGAACUUGGACUGCAACGGAUUACCGGAGAGGCAUCAUCAACUGCUGCUGCUGCUGCACACCAGAGGCCACCCAGUUCGAGUGUCCCAACAGAACGUGAAGUAUUUGGAAGAGAAGAAGAUAAGGCCAAAAUUCUUGAUAUGGUAUUGGCCGAUACCCCAAGUGAUCAUGCAAACUUUGUUGUAAUACCCAUUGUUGGCAUGGGCGGGAUAGGAAAAACAACUCUUGCCCGGGAAGUCUACAAUGACAAGGCCGUUGAAGAUUCCAAGUUUGAUGUAAAAGCAUGGGUUUGCGUAUCUGACGUCUUUGAUGUUUUGGGCAUCUCAAAGGCACUUCUCGAGUCAAUCACCCGCAGGCCUUGUCUUCUAAACAGUUUAAAUGACGUGCAGGUUGAGCUGAAAGCAGCUGUGGAUAAAAAAAGGUUCCUGCUGGUCUUAGAUGAUGUUUGGAACGAGGACUACAGCUUAUGGGUAGACUUAAAAGCUCCGUUACUGGUUGCUGCACCAAACAGCAAGAUGAUCGUCACCACACGCAAUUCAAGUGUUGCAUCAACAAUGAGACCCAUCGAUCGUCACCACACGCAAUUCAAGUAUUACGAUCUCAAGAGUCUGUUAGAUGAUGAUUGCUGGUCCAUUUUCAUAAACCAUGCAUUUGAAUCUACAGACCUUAGCGCACAUCGAAUUUCAGAAUCAUUCCGCGAGAAAGUUGUUGGCAAGUGUGGGGGCUUGCCUCUAGCAGCAAAAACACUCGGGGGCCUUCUUCGUACUAAAACGCAUGCUGAGUGGGACGGUAUAUUGGAUAGCAAAAUAUGGGAUUUACCUCGGCAAAGCAGCAUUCUCCCCGUGUUAAGAUUGAGUUACCAUCAUCUUCCUUCUCAUUUGAAAAGAUGUUUUGCUUUUUGUGCCAUCUUUCCAAAAGAUUAUGCAUUCACUGAGAGGGAGCUGACUUUCUUAUGGAUGGCUGGAGGUAUUAUUCGACAGUCAAGAAACAAUGAGCAGCUGGAAGAUUUGGGCAGCAAGUGCUUUGGUGAUCUAGUGUCGAGGUCAAUUUUUCAACAAACAGCAAUCUCUGAUAGUUCUAAAUUUGUAAUGCACGACCUUAUCCAUGAUCUUGCUCAAUUGGUCUCUGGAGAAACCAUAUUUAGGUUAGAGGAGGCCAAUACUCUGUCAAGAAGAUUUGAAAGGGUUCGCCAUUCCUCCUAUGCCCGUGAUUGGUGUGAUGGUAGAAAUAAGUUGGAGGUUUUCAAUGAAAUUGAACAUCUACGAACAUUCUUGCCAUUUUGCAUAAGAGGUGGCGUUACUUCUGGUUGGAUAACUAGCACGGUUCACUACGAUUUGUUGCCGAAGUUCAAAAGGUUGAGGAUGCUGUCUUUAGAAGGAUACCAUAUUGGUGAGUUACCAAUUCCAUUUGAAGAUUUGAGACUUUUAAGGUUCCUCAACCUUGCUGACACUGACAUAAGAAGUUUACCUGAGUCAACAUGCAAAUUGUUGAACUUGGAAAUUCUGAUAUUAAGAAAUUGUUCCCGUUUGACAAAGCUUCCCCAGAAAAUGAGGAAUUUGAUCAAUUUACGUCAUCUGGAUAUAAGAGGUGCAAAGCAGCUGAAGGAGAUGCCAUUUGGAAUGAAAGAGUUGAAGAAGCUUCAAACGUUGUCCAAUUUUAUUGUAGGCAAGGGUGAAUCUGCAUCUGGUUUGGAAGAUUUAAAAAGUUUAGACCUUCUAUGUGAUGAACUCUGCAUUGCUGGAUUAGAGAAUGUGAAUAGUCCACAGAAUGCAAGAGAAGCCACAUUAUGUGAGAAGCACAAUCUUGAAGCAUUGACCCUAGAAUGGGGGUCUCAAUCUGACAGUCCUCGGGAUGCAGUACUAGAAGAGAAGGUACUUGACACUCUACAGCCUCAUGAACGUAUAAAAGAGCUGGCAAUCAGGAACUAUGGUGGUGCAAGAUUUCCACCUUGGAUCAGAGAUCCUUCGUUUCCCGAGAUGAAGGUCCUUAAAUUGGAGAACUGUGACGAUUGUGAAUAUCUGCCAUCACUUGGCCUGUUGAGUUCACUUAAGCACCUUGCUGUUAAAGGGCUGAAGAAACUAAAAAGCAUAGGGUCUGAGGUUUAUGGGGAGGGUUUGUCAAUGCCUUUUCCAUCAUUGGAGGUUCUAAGUUUUGAGAAUUUGCCUGAAUGGGAGUAUUGGGACACCAAUAUCAGAGGAAAUGUGCUCGUUGAAAUGUUUCCUCGUCUCCAUAAACUUUCCAUUGUGGAAUGUCCCAAACUCUCUGGGGAACUGCCUGAGCUCCUGCCCUCCUUGGAGACACUUGUUGUUAGUAAAUGUGAAAAGUUGGUAGUUCCAUUGUCUCGCUAUCCGAUGCUCUGCAGAUUAGAAGUUGAUGAGUGCAAGGAACUAGCAUGCGGGACUCCAAUUGAUUUUAAGUUGAUAGAGUCUGUGACUAUUUCAAAUAGUUCCUUAGACAUGAAUGGAUGCAAGGGGAUGCUAUACGAUGGUCCAGCUGGCUCUUCACUGCCAAAGCCUAUGAUUACUACAAAUGUUUCGGAGUUUGGAAAAUUAUUGAAGCCUGGAUGUCAAAUAUUAGAAACUUUAGUAAUUGGCAAUUCUGGACGGCUCAAGUCAUGGAGGCAGCAUGGGGAUUUUCUAGAAGAAUAUAUGGUCGCUCACCAAAGGUUUAAGAAACCAGUACAAGGGCUAAAUAUGCUCGCUUCCCCUGAAGAGGUAACAAUUGAAGAAAGUUGUGUGAGUUUUGUUUUGUUUCCAGAGAUCAAUUUCUUUCCCAGAAAUCUGCGCUCUCUUCUAAUUUGCAACAGCACUGCUUUGAAAUCCUUACCCGAGGAAAUGAUGGAAAACAAUUCACAACUGGAAAGGUUGUAUAUCAGAGAUUGCGACUCUCUAACAUUCAUCGCAAGACAGAGGCUACCAGCAUCUGUUAAAAGGCUUGAGAUAGAAAAUUGUGAGAAAUUGCAACGUCUGUUCGAUGAUGAAGAGGAUGCUUCUUCUUCUUCUUCUUCUCCUUCAUCCUCGUCUUCCCCAGUGAUGCUGCAACACCUGAUAAUAGGGAAAUGCCCAAAGCUCACCAGUUUAUUAUCGGGUGUCCAAUUCCUUGAGGCGCUUGAAUUCCUCAAGAUAGAGCAUUGUCCAAAGCUGGAGUCAAUACCGGAUGGCCUGCCCAAUCUUAAAUGUUUACAGAGCAUUUAUUUACUCAAUUGUCCAAGUCUUGUUUCCUUCCCAGAAAGAGGGCUUCCCCACACCAUUUCAUUUGUUUGCAUUUGCGGAUGUGACAAGCUUGAAGCCCUGCCCAAUGACAUGCACAAACUCAACUCUCUUCGACAUUUAAGCAUACAGCUCUGUCCAAAUCUUGUAUCGUUUCCAGAAGAAGGUUUUCCUACCAAUCUAACAUCACUUACAAUUGGAGAUUUCAAAAUGUAUAAGAUACUCGUCCAGUGGGGGUUGCACAGGUUUACCUCUCUUAGACGCCUCUAUAUCGUUGAUUGUGAUGACGAAGCAGAGUAUUUUCCAGACGAGGAUAUAGGAAUGACGCUGCCCACCUCUCUCACUCAACUGGAACUUUCGGGAUUCAAAAAAUUGAUAUCUCUGUCUUCGACGGGUUUUCAGAGCCUCACCUCUCUUCAAAGAUUGCGGAUCUGGGAUUGCCCAAAUCUCACAUCAUUUCCAGAGGUGGGCCUUCCAUCCUCACUUUUGGAAUUACACAUUUACAAAUGUCCAAAGCUUAAAAAAGCGUGCAAAAGAGAUCAAGGAAAAGAGUGGCCCAAAAUUGCUGACAUCCCUUGCGUUGAGAUAGACAAUAAAUUCAUAUACGAUCCAGAAUAAGAGGAGUAGAUUCUACUAUUAAGGUCAGUUGAUUUGUAUUAUCCGCUAUAACAAGCUCCUCCUUUUUUUUUUUUAAAUAAUAAUUUUGCAGUCACUCACGUGAUUCCGUUUUCACAAGUCAGAUUGUAUGUUGAGGCUAUUUGCCUUUUAGUCGCAGAUUAAAUUAUAACACUUAUCUUAAAAUUUAAUACCAUAGACAGAUAGACGAUUUUUUAAUCCAAAGUUUUUUUUAUUCACUUCAGUUAGCAUUUUUUUUUUUCCCCAAAUCAUGCAAGCCGAGAGUUUCAAUCAAGAAUUGGAGCAUGGGAAUGGAAUUUUUGUGAAAACAUAAUGGAUGAACGAACAUUUCAUCUGUGAUCUCAAAGUCAACAGAAUUUUAUUCACUCAAUGACUUUUCAACUGCUGUGGUUAUUUAUGGGUGAAAGAAAGAUAAGGGCAAUUACAAAAAAUUUGCAAAAUUUGUCAAUUUCUUAGAUGGUAGAUAUAUCGACAUUUUAGAUUUCAGAUAUUUGUCACCAAUUUCAUUCCUUUUUUUUUAUUUUUUCAAGCAAGUUUGACUAAUUUUAACCAGAAUUGGAGUAUAAUAUUUUGGAGCAAGCAUACUUGAAAUUUCUGUCUUCAAUAUUUUGAUGCUUUUUUAAUUUUGGAUCUAGUAAAAAUACAUAGCCUUCACCGGCAGGAUUCUAGUCUUGGCUUUCACCUCUCUAACUCAUCCGGCCCCAUUGGGAUUCCAGAAAUUGAAAUUUCUGUCUUCAAGGGGUUUUCAAAGCCUCGCCUCCCUUCGAUUUUUGUGGAUCGGGAAUUGCACAAAUCUUACAUCAUUUCCCGAGGUCGAGGAAAAGAGCGGCCCAAACUUGCUCGCAUCCCUUGGGUUAUGAUAGAUGGAAAAUUCAUAUACGAUCCAGAGUCAGAGGUGUUGAUUCUCUUAUUAAGGUCAGCUGAUUUCUAUUAUCCACUCUGACAAUCUCCUAUUAGUGUUUUUCCCUUUUUUUUUUUCAAAAUUUUGCAGUUCCGUAUAAUUGAAAAUGCCACUCACUUGUUUCCUAUUAGUAUGUUGAGGCUAUUUGCUUUCUAUCGGUGUUUGUUAAGGUAAUUACUCACAGAUGAAAUUAUAACUUUUAUCUUAAAAUUUAUUGCCAUUGACAGAUGGACGAUUUUUAGUCCAAAGUUUUGUUAUUAACUUCAAUCAAAAUUUUAGAUUGCAGAUUUUUGUCAAUUAUUUCAUUUUUUAUUUUUAUUUUAAAGCAGAAUUGGAGUAUAACAUUUGGAGCGCGCAUACUCUGAUGCAUGCAAUUAACUGUUUUUAAUCGUUGGAUUUUGAAAUUAAUGAUGGUAAGAUGUGUACUUAUUUUUUCUUCCGGACAACCUUGCCUUCUUUCUUCGGUAGCAUAUCUAAUGAAUAUUUCUCUGUUUAGUUAAGGAUGAAUGCUUGGAGUGGUCUGAUUCACAACAACACCUCUUCCAGAAAAUAUGAUACAAGGCAAAGCCAUGUUCUGAAGCAGAAAUGAUACAGCAGUUGCGGUACCCGAGGUACCUUUUGCAUUUAACUUGCCUUUAUUUGUUUUGCUUGUGACUUAAGAACACAUCAUUUCCCAGAGAUUUGGAGAAGCAUCUCAAGAUGCUUAACAAACUUGACAAGCUUCAAGAUGCACUUGCUCCCAAGCAUUGAUUCUUCACAAUGGAAAACCUGUGAGUACACUUAUGCCCGCAAUUAUUGUUAAGUGUUUGCAAUUUUGAUGCAGCGAAAUGGUUUGUGGAUGCAAAGCUUUAAAACUGUUAAGAACUACCCUGCAGGCUUGUUGGAUGUUGUAUACUUCAAAAGCCACCAACACCAAGAACUACAACAGCAAGACUAGGUUUGCGUUGCUUCAAUCAGCUGAAAUAAUGAUGCAAAUGACACUAUCAAGCUGGACUUAGAGACUUGUCAGGUCAAUCAUCCAUUUCAUCAACAGUUAAUGUCAUGAUGGUGGCUAUCAGAGGAAACAAAAGAUCUGUUGGAAUCAAUUCAAACAGUGAGAAGCAUGAGAGGAGCAUUGAUUAUAAAUAGGCUCAAUGAGCUCAUGCUGGUAAGUGGUAAUUAAGAAAUUUGUGAGCUUAGUAUAGUUUCAAUUUUUUUCUGUUUGGGAUAUAGUUGAUAAGUUGAUACUCUGAUUAAGAAGCCUGAUUAUAGUAGCUGACUGUGCUAACUGCGUUCUUUUAUUUUUUAUUUUUUUGGUUUGCCGUCGUUUUUUCUUUUGAUUAUUUGUUCAACAUUAGAUUGAUCUGUUGAAGACUACGAGGAAGAUCCAGACUUGGAUGCAGGCGUGCAGCUCGUAAUAGGUGAGAACAAAUGAAUGCUUUAACCAUGUUUCUCACUUAUGACAAUGCACGGAUCAAAGGCAUCUGAGUUGAUCCUGAAAAUGUGAUGGAAAUAGGUCUCUGUUUUCAUAAAACAGAACAAAUAGAGAUCUCUGAUCACGCCUGAGAAUUCAUUGCAUUGAAAUUUCUACCAUUGGCAAACAUAGAAUAAACUGGGGAUACAUUAGCUUUAGACUCUAUUUUGAGGAGGAAGUUUGUACUUGCAGCCUAUAAAAUCAUAUCCCUGUUGUAUGUUUCUUUGGGAAAUGAAAGAUUCUGUGUGUUCUUUUAUUUCAAGUUUGCUGAAAUCACAUUUGUUUUCUAAGAUGCUUUACAGAAGGUACCAACAUCAUUUUCAAAAAUGCUGGGGUAAGAUACAUCGUGCAGUGCUCCUCAACAUGAGAAUUCCUGGCCGCAUUACCCAUAUGUGGAAUGAUCUGAGAGUACAACCGUGAGAAUGUUGUAAGGAGUACACAACCAGAUGUGAGUAGUUUGAAAAUGAAUUCGCAUGGAAUGAUUUCUUGCCAGUGCAGAAAUGGCUUGGUUCAAAAUAUGCUCAGCUUCAUUGACACUCUUCGGUAGGCCUCUCCGUCCUUCCAUUCUUAACUACAAUACUACUCUUGUCUGUCUAGUUAUGGAAUCUCUCUUUUAAUCCUCAAAGUUUGAAUUAUAUUAUAUUGCCUCUGUGUUACCGCAGAAACUGAGUCAGUUGGUGAUCCUUCAAAACAAGAAAAACCAAAAACAGAUACAGCGCGCGAUAAGAUAAUGAGACAGAUGGCUCCCGUUGCUGCAUGCCACUUGCUUGUGUGCGUAUUGGGACCAUCAUCAACAACAUUGACGUAAACCCAGCUCAAGGUGGGAAGCUAGUUCGAGCUGCAGGGACGUUAACCAAGAUUUUGAGAAAGAACCCACUUCAAGGUGUUGCUUAGUUAGGCUACGUUGUGGAAAUGAGAAAGUGAUUGACCCUAGAUGUCGCGCCACCAUUGGUACAGUGUCUAACCCCAGCCAUGGAGCUAAAAAGCUUAGUAAGGCAGGUCAGAGAAGUUGGUUGGGUCGAAGAGCUGUGGUUAGAGGAGUAGCCAUGAUUCCAGUUGAUCACCCUCAUGUUGAACAAAGCAAAAGUAGCGGUAACAAUGGAAGGUGUUCACUCACACCUUGGGGCAAGCCUUGUAAGUCUGGGAAUUAAACUGCAUCUCCUAAGAAGAAAGAGAAAUCAGCUGUCUGAUAAUAUUGUCCUUUUCUGCUAUUUGGUCUUUUUAACAUUGUUACACUGUUUUUACAUCUUUGAGGUUAGUUUUAGACCAAUUUUUAACUGAUCCAUAAUGAAACUGAAGUUUAAUUUUUGAUUAAACUUUCACUGGUUUUACUCUUCUGUCACUUCAAUUUAGCAUUGAUUUAAGAUACUGAAUUCUGUGCUUGGAGCUUGUAAAUUGGAAAGAGAUAUUUUGGGAUAGAAUGUAGAUUUUGUGUUUUGCUUUCUCAAGCUAGUUGUGACUUCUUAAAAGAGUCAAUCCAUGUCUUUAUAUAUUUUUCUUUUGUCUUGAUUCUGUUUCUUCAUACAGAUUCUUAUUUUAUGCUUCACAUACCACAUGAAAGAUGAAAGCCUUUUCUGUGAUUAGAAUUGACUUGCAUUAUAGUAACUUUAAACCACUUGGAUAUUUUUAUAAUAGCAGUCUGAGAUCUCCUUAAAGGAUUCAAAAGCAUCCACUGGCAUCCACUUUACUCGUAUCGGUCAAAAGUUUUGUGCAAUACAAUAUUAGCUUGACUGUAGCGCAGAGGAGAACAGGUUGGUGUUGGUCUGAAUUCUGAUAUUUGAAUAAAUAUAACAGCUCAUGUGACUCCACCACUUUUUACUUGUUCUGUAGUCUGUACCUACCUCCAUUGUCGGCACUGCCCAUACAAGGUCUUUUAGCUUUUUAAAAAGUUUCAUGAUAUUCCAUAGUUCACAUGGAUUUCUACAGUUUGUAGAAAACCUAAUUAGGGCACAUUUAAUUACUAUGCAGAAGAUUCUUUUAUCUUGCUCACCAAUAAUUCUUUGUACUUAUUUGAAAGAUGUGUUUCAAAAAAAUAAAAAAAAACUAUUUGAAAGAUGAGAAAUCCCUUAGCCGAACGACAAACUCAUCUAUCAGUCCUAUCAAAAAAAAAAAAACUCAUGUUUUAGUGGUUUUUUUUUUUCACUUGUAUUCAGUCGCACAAGUGAAGAUUGUGGGCAAUUUUUUCCUUGAGUAAAAUUGGAAUAGAUGUUUUUAUUGACACAAAUUUUUGAGCUAUGUUUGGGAAACCCUUAGACUUAAGACUUUGUUACGAUGAUAUGUAUCUAAGCUUUCAACAGACCGUUGAGGUCUUAUUAUCAAAAUACUAGAAAUUUACAAUUCAAUUUUGGUAAGGACCAAUUUAAUAAUGCUGUAAUUUUUAAAAUAAUUACCGUUAACUGUGUUGUAAAAAUAAUCAAUUAUGAAGAAAAUUAAUUAAACAUUUAGUAAACUUUAUUUUUACAAGUGCUUUGAAUUUUAAAAAUAGUCAUAUGUGUUCAGAAAAUCUCACUUCUAAAAUAGUAUAAGAAUGGAAAAAACUUAAAAAGACAAAUGUAUAAUAUUUAUUUACACAUGCAUUUAUAAAUAUGUGUAUAUAAUAACAUUUUAUGUGUACAUAUAAUAAUUGAUAACUAAAAUAAAUAUUUUUAUUUAUUAAUUAUUUUUUUGUCUCAAUGUAAUUGGUAAUACUUUUUUUUAAUCUUCUCAUCCUAAGUUUUUUUAUUGUUUUGUACAAAAUUCAAGGUUUGGACUUUUAUAAAAUGUCCACUCAAAAAUAAAUUGUUUUCUAACUAAGAUUUGUUGCUAAUGUAUAACUCAAAGUAAUACUAGCUAUUUGUAAUUUUAUUUCAAAAUUUUUAUUCAAAUGAUAUGGUAACUAAUGUACAUUAGUUGAUAGCAAUUUUUUUUUUUUUACAAUAUUCAAAUCAAUCAAUUGCAUCAUCUCAACAUUUUUAUGAUGUCGUGUUAUUUUAAACGAAUUUUUUAUUUUUAUAUAAAAUUUAUUAUGUUUAACAUCAUUUGCAUAACUUGACCUUUUUUUUUUCCUACAAAUAUUAAGUCAAAUUUACUCACCCUAUAUUUCUAUCUAAAAUCUACCUAAAACUCAUGCAUCACUGUAAAACAAAUCCAAAGAUUGCGGUACGUUUUUCUUGGUAACAAAUCAAUAAUUAGGUCAAGUACUACUACUAAGCGUGCUCAAUUAAUUCUAAAAUACUACGGUGAUCAAAAUCAUACUUGACGCAAGAGGAUAAGGGCUAAACCUCAAUUAGGCAUUAUUCAUCCAAAAUUCGUUGACCCGGCAUUCUUUGCAAGUUGUAGCACGGGACAGCUAAGAUUAGCAAAUGCUGUGGACCAUAUGCCCCCAUACAUUUGUGACAUGUGAAACUUGGCAUUAAAGGAAAGGCAACGUGUUAAAAUUUAAUAGCGCCCAAUUCUUCAUUGAAUGAUUAUCAGAUCCAAUGAGCAUCCUUUGAUUGGAUUAUUUUAAGUCAAUUAUUGGUGGAUUGGGGCCCACUUGACUCUACCAAAUCGGGCUCCACCAUAUCACCUAUUAACGACCACCUGUCCUUAUCAUAAAUAGCAAAUGUCACUUGUUUUAUUUUGUAUUUUACCAAAAGCAAAGUCACUAUGAACCCAAAUGAAAGUGACCCCAAUUUUGGGGGUCAUGAGCUUUGGAUUAUUAUGGACACAAGAGACAAGCGCAAAGUUUCUCAUUUAUCACCGGAUAAGAUUUAAGUUAUCAACCCAACAUUAAUAAAUUCUGCUUAAAGUAAAGUUUGAAGCUUCAUUUUGCGAAUAUUCAAUGGUUAACAUUUAAGUAAUUAACCUGAUAUUAAUCCAAUUAAACUUUUUAUGUAAUCCAAGUCAAAAAUAUGUUGAUAAACCUAAAUUAAUCUAAUUGGACAUAUUAUUUCAACUUGAAAAGGCGAAUCUAUCAUUUUUCAAUUAAUUUUGAAUCAAGCUAUGUAAAAUAUAAGCUUAUUAAAGACAUAUUUUUAUCAUGUUAAAAUAUCGAAAUACUUCUUACUCGUUUCGUAAUAACAUUAACAAACCUUUUGGUAAAUUUGACAGUCCAAUCAAUUCAGUUGGUUUUUUGUUAUUGAAACUCCAACAAAAUUCAUCACGAUUAUUAAAAACCCAUUAAAAAAAAAUGAAGGUAACUAUUUAAAAAAUUCUAAUUGAAUUAUUUAACAACUACAUUUCAACUAAAUUGUGUUGCUAAUUAACUUCCUCAACUUAAACUAUAUUUUUCUCAAUUAAUUCAUAACAAAUAAUGUUAGAUAUUUUAUUCGAAUAAUAACAUUCAACAUCCUUAUUCUUUAUGAUUAUUGCAUAAAAACAUAUUUUAUCCAUUUACAUCACAUAUGUUCCUAAAUUGUAUAAGAAAAUCACCAAAUUUACUCUUGUAAGUUACUAUAUCAAUGAACAUGAAAUUCACUAAUCAUUAAAGUCUCGGAAUGACAUCAUGAGAGGGAUUCAGUUACAUUUAUUGAUAGGAUUAGAUAUAUGUCUUCUCAAAUAUUAGUAGGAGCAAUUUAACAGAUGCAGCUACUAAAAAUAUAGAAUUACUUAUCUCGUCAAUAACUAACGAUAUUUUUUAUCUAUGCUCAAUAAAUUGUAAUAUUUGUAGAUUGUAACAAUUGUUAAAAAAAAAGAGCUCCCUGAGACUAAAUGACAAAAGGACUGUUUUGAAAUAGAUAGAUAAAAUAUGCCCUUAUUUGAGAAAAUGUAAAACACUAGGGAUCUAAAUGUUAUUAUAAUCCCAUGCACAAAAAUACCAAAAAUAACUAAUAACAACUAACCGAAAAUCCCAGGCGUCAUAUUCCUUUUUUCCGCGUUUUAAAAUGCCCUCUGAUUCAUUCACAGUCAGACGCUGUCGGCAUUUCUCUUCUCUCCCUCUCUCUCCACGUAUUAAAACAUGUAAAGUACGGAAAAAUUUAAAAAAAAUUUUAAAAUUACAUAAUUUAAAAGAUAUAAAAUUAUAAAUUUUUAAAAUUAUACGGUUUUAAAAUUUUUUUAAAUUUUUUCGUAUUUUAAAAUUUCAGACUAAAAAAUUAUUAUACGAAUACUUCGUAUAACCGCUUUGCGCUUAAAAUCUGUGCCUAACAAACUCACGAAAUCACUCCUCAUUUUCCUCUCUCCCUCUCCUCCUCUCAUUCCCUUUCAAAUCCUUCCACCACCUUCCCCGCCUCUCUCUCUUUCUCUCUCCCCUCACCGCCACAGCUCAACUUUUCCAUGUAAACCACCACGGGCGCCGUCGUUUCAACCUCCCACUCAUCCGACGUCGUUUUGUGUGAAUAAGAUAACGAUUUAAAUUAAAAUACGAAAAUGGAGAACUUAACGGCGCAGUUGAAGCGAGGGAUAUCGCGGCAGUUCUCGACGGGAUCGCUGCGGCGGAGCCUGACGAGGCAGAUGUCGAGGCAGUCGUCGUUCGAUCCGAGGAGGAAUAACAUGAGGUUUAGCUUCGGGAGGCAGUCGUCGUUGGAUCCGAUACGCAGGAGUCCGGUUCAGGACGAGUUGACGGUGCCGGAGAACCUUGACUCGACGAUGCAGCUGUUGUUUAUGGCAUGCAGAGGUGACGUCAAGGGAGUCGAGGAUUUGCUGAACGAAGGCAGUGAUGUCAACAGCAUUGAUCUUGACGGACGGUUUUGGCGAGAAAUCAAAGAAUUAAGAGACAAUAUUUAGUUAAGCUAAUAGUAUUUGUUCUGUUUAGUACGUCGUUUUACCAACAAGCAUCCCGGCAUUGCACGCAUUAAUAAAUUUUUUUUAUCUGUUUGGACUGAUGGUGGUAAAAAAUUCCACAUACUUUAUAUUAAAAAGGAAAAAGGACAAACACACCCCUAACGUCAACUUGGAGGGGGGUCGAUUCCGAGCUCAAGAAGUGGGAAAGAAGAAAGCUGAAGAUGAUUCAGGCGGUGCUCAAUGGUGGGUAUGACGGCAAAAAUAAGUUGGAGGUUUUCUAUGAAUUUGAACAUCUAAGAACAUUCUUCCCAUUACACAUAAGAGGUGGCUCCAAAACUGGUUACAUAACUCGUAUGGUUCUAACUGAUUUGUUGCCGAAGUUUAAAAGGUUGAGGGUGCUAUCUUUACAAGGAUACCAUAUUGGACCAAUUCCAUUUGAAGAUUUGAGACUUCAAAGUAUAAUUACCCAAAGUGUAUACAAUAAAAGCCAAAUUUAAGAAAUUCCUGAACCUUGCUGACACUGACAUAAGAAGUUUACCAGAGUCAACAUGCUCAAUGUUGAACUUGGAAAUUUUGAUAUUAAGAAAUUGUUUCCGUUUGAUGAUACUCCCACCCAAAAUGAGGAACUUGGUUAAUUUACACCCAGACUCUUUUCUUUUGACAUGGGGUUAACGAUCAAAGUUGGUUUCGUGCGGUAUAUAUUUACAAAUUGAUAGGUAUGCCUGGUGUUGAUGCAGGAUUCCGGUUCUUCUCGUUCUACGACCAGGAUCUCUGCUCGAUCAACUUCGUCACGACCAGGAGGUCUCCUCGCAAGACUUUUUCUCCAGAGAUUCCUGCGCACACAGACAAGUCAGAGUACGCCGGUUGUUUUCCCGGCGCAAACCCUCCGACGCUCAAGUCAGAUAUGAAGGUUCGGGGAACGCUUGCCACCGAUCUUAUGGCUUUUUCGUGGUUUUCUCUUCUUUUUAAUUCCUUUUCUAAUGAGAAAAAUGCCAACCCUUUUACCUCGUCGGCUACCUUUUUAUAGGCUUCCUCUGAAUCCCAGUUUUCCGCUCUUUUCGAGACGGUAUGGGACUCUGACUGCUGUGUUAUGGGCAAACGUGGGAUCUUGCGUGUUACGCCACCGUUCUGGGAAAAGCGCGGCAGUCGUGGUUCUGUGAGAUCUUGCGUGUUACGCCACGGUUCUGGGGAAAGCGUGGCUGUCGUGCUUAGGUUCUCGGGCUGGAGAGCAUGUCUCGUCAACUGCCGUCGACCGGGUCUCCUCGCCUCUCGACCUCUAGCCGGAAUGACCUUAUGCCUCUUACAGGAAAUUGGCCUCGCGGAUGACCUGCUCGUGGACGAGCAGGAUAUUUCUGCUCCUGUUCCCCCGCGUACCAGGCUUUUACGGGACACACCGGUUCGCAGAACUCUGCCAUCAGAUAUCUGCUCACCGUGCCUGGUCUCGUCGACGUAUUUCUCCCAAACACCGGUCCCCCAGUUUCUGGUGUUGGGUAAUGUAGUGGACCAGCAGUAGAAACUCGUUAGUACUCGCCCGCGUGGGAUUGGAAAAGGCUGCCAAGAGUCAUGUCGCAUUUAAUUGCGGACGAGGUGACGUGGCAGAAAUCCCCCCCUCCAUUUGAAUUUCAAACCGACGGUUAUGAGAUCCUCGGGAUUCAGCGCCGUUAAAUGCUGGCAACCCAAGAGUCCGUCCUCAUUAGGAAAACCAAAUCCUCUCGAACGGCAUAUUCGUCAUUCACUCCGUCUCCGUCUCUGUCUCCCCGGCAAAGAGGUUCCGGCAUAAAAGCCCUCCAUCUCUGAUUUUCACCGACUGAACCGUUACUUCAGGUAUUUCUUCUAUCUCCUUGGUCUCGGAUAGUUGUAGAUAAUUUCUCUUCUCUUCUGUUGGGUAGUAGUUGGUGGUGUUGUGGUUAGAGCUUAGGGAAUGUCGAAAGGCAAAGAGAAGGUCAUUGAGGUUGGUGACGACGAGUUGGACUUCCUGCCUAGUCUGCUCACCGAUCCUGCUUUUGACCCCGGGAUCCCCUUAGAGCCCAUUAGGUCUAGUGUCGGGACUAGUGCUAGGAGGAUGUCUCCCCAAACAACCUCUACGAGCGGAAGUAAUGGUGAGGAGAGAUCUUCUGGCUCCGAGGAUACUUUGAGUGAGAAUGGCGAAGGUGACUCUGGUGAGGUGUCUCCAUCUGGAACAUCACGACCAGAAGAACGGGGUAUAGUAGGAGGCAGAGCCUUGUCGCGCGAUUAUGCCAUUGAUUACAUGACGUGCACGACCUCGUUUGACGAGCUCAAUGACCUCCGGCUUAGGUAUAGCAUUCCUGGUGAGAUACCUCUCAAGGUCCCAGGAAAGAAGGAUGCUCCCAGCCGGCCUCCUAGGGGAUAUGUUACCCUGUAUCUGGACAGCUUUAAGUACGGGCUGAGGUGUCCCUUGCAACCUUACUUUGCCCGGAUACUUAACGGGCUAAAUCUAGCUCCUGGUCAGCUGAAUCCCAAUGGGUGGAGAGUGCUCUCUGGUCUGUUCAUAUUGUGGGACAGAUGUUGCCAAAGCGAGCCCACGGUUGAUGAGGUGAAGCACCUGUACCAGCUAAAGAGCAGCCCCAAAGAUGCCGUCUGGUACUACUUCCAAUCUAGCACCAAGAGCAGGAAACCUAUAACCGACCUCCCUACUGGUGGUGGUGGGAAUUGGAAGAGAAAAUUCUUUUUUGCUGGGGGUCCUUGGGGUCAGGUUGCACAAAUGGACGGGAAGGAUUAUCGGGUCCCACCCCGUUUCACGGUCCCAGGUUGCCUGCUCGCUUUAGAUGUCUUGUAUCCACAAUUGUUAUUGCUUUAUUGGCUUGUCUCUAACCAAGUGUCUGUUUGCGUUGUAGUUUCUUGGGGUGUUCACUUCCCGCUCCCACCUGACCAGCUCAAACGGGUCAAGGCUGUGCUCGCCAAUUCCUGCUCGAGUCGAGAACUGCUAACUACAUACAACUUGCUCGAAUCUCGCUUGAUACUUCCUGGCCAUAGGAUGGAGGACGCCGUGAUUGGGGCUCUGACCCGAAAACGUUCUCGACCUCCAACCACGAAGAGGGACCAGGGUAAGGAUGCCCCUGCUGCAAAGCGGGCCAGCAUCGUGCAGCAGGUCCCACCCUUGGAGAUUUUACCUCCUGCUCCUGAAAAAGUCGGGGAAGCUAGUGGAGCAGCCACAGAUCCUGCUUCCUCAUCUGUUCCUGUCGGGCCUCGAUCUCGCUUACCUGACAGCCGAGCAGAACACCUGGUCCCCUACCUCAAUGAGUUGUCUAAACUCGUGAGCAAGAAGGACCUGGAGGACUUCGACGGCUGCACCUUGGGUGAGCUGGUGGGGGCCAUGCAGCAUAGCGCUUUCCACCUCAGCUGCAUGACCACCUAUUACAAGGCUAAGGUUGGUCGAUACGAUCGGAAAAUGAAGGGGGAUAUUCAAUCGGCGACGACCAGAGCUGACAUUGCCGAGAAGAAAGCAGGGGAGCUGAACCUCGAGAAUCUGAAGCUGAUAGAGCAAGAAUCACUUGCUCAAGCAAAGACCAUUACCCUCGAGGAGGAGCUUACCAAGGUCAAGGAGGAUCUGCAAAGGCAGAAGGCUAUGUAUGAGGCCCAGCUCGAAUCUCUCCGGGACUCCAACCGAGCUCAGGUCGAGAACUUGGAGAGGGAGGCAGAGAAUCAGUACGACCAGGGACUUCGGCAUUCCUAUCGUUGCAUCAUGGCCGUCCUCGGGAAGCAACACCCUGAUCUGAAGAUGGAUGACCUUGCGGCUGGUGUUGCCCAACAUAUGGACGAGGAGGCGGCCAAGGAAGAUGCUGAAGGGGUAGAGCCGAUCGUGAUCGAGGAGGAAAGCUCUCCUCCUCGUGCAGUCCCUGCUGAUGUUGGCGAGGCGAGCACCCCUCCGGACGCAACUGGCGAUACCCCUCCCGCACCUGAGGAGGUCCAGUCAACCGAUGCUGCUCGGCUCACUGAUCUACCAUCUUUUUGAUAUAUUUCUUUUUGUAUUGUAAUAAACAACGUUUAUGAAAUUUAUCCCCUCUGUUAGCCAUUAACACAUUAAUAAAGAUGUUUUUUGAUUACUUUCUCGUCUUGUAAUCAUCACUUAUUUUCCGUUUGGGAAUCUGCUCGUCUCGUCUGGUCGAGCAGGUUCUGGUUUGGCAUAUGGUUUUGCAACAUGCCUUAGAAAAAUUUCUUUUUUUUUUUUUUUUUUUUUUUUUUUUUUUUUUUUUGCUUGGGGAUUCUGCUUGCCUUCGCGUGGUCGAGCAGGUCCUGGCAUGCUUGGCUUCAGUCUCGCCAUAAAAAGGCUUUGAGACUUGGUGAGGCCUUUGCAUGCCUUAGAAAACUUUUUCGAUGCUUGGGGAUUCUGCUCGACUUCGCUCGGUCGAGCAGACCCUAGCAUGCUUGGCUUCCGUCUCGCCAUAAAAAGGCUUUGAGACUUAGUGAGCCUUUGCAUGCCUUAGGUGGCUUCUUCAAAGCUUGGGAUUCUGCUGCCUUCUCGUGGCCGAGCAGAUCCGGGCAUGCUUGGCUUCUGUCUCGCCAUAAGACAGGCUUUGAGACUCGACGAGCCUUUGCAUGCCUUAGAUGGCUUCUUCGAAGCUUGGGAUUCUGCUGCCUUCUCGUGGCCGAGCAGAUCCGGGCAUGCUUGGCUUCUGUCUCGCCAUAAGACAGGCUUUGAGACUUGACGAGCCUUUGCAUGCCUUAGAAAUUUUCUUGGUUUCAAGCGAAAGGAAUUCCUCGACGUUCCAUUAAUGGCAGGAUUCGGCUUACAUGAACUUGUUUGGACAUAAAGCGUGAAAGAUAAACGAUAAUGAUCAUGAGCAAAAAUAGCUUUCAGAUGUGAACAAAUCUUACUGGAAGUAUUUUCGGAGGUGUGCUGCGUUCCAUGGGCGUUUCAGCUCGUGGCCGUCCGUGCGAACCAGCUUGUAAGCUCCGGGUCCCGCUAUCUGCUUGACUCUAUAUGGCCCUUCCCAAUUCGGUCCCAGCACUCCUUGAGUCGAAUCUUUGGUGCUCUGAUUCACUCUUCUCAGUACCCAGUCUCCGACCUUGAAUUGCCGUAUGUUCACCUUCUGGUUAUAAUACCGAGCAACCCUCUGUUGGUAAAGGGCUGAUCGCUCGGCUGCUUGCUCCCUCCUUUCCGUUAGCAGAUCAAGAUUCAAACAUAUCUGCUCGUCGUUCUCCUGCUCGUUGAAAUGACCUGUCCGGUGUGUGGUCGUUCCUAUCUCAGCCGGCACGACCGCUUCAUGUCCGAAAGCCAAAGCGAACGGUGUCUCCCCAGUUGCGGUUUUGUGGGUUGUUCUGUAUGCCCAUAGCACACCUGACAGCUCGUCAACCCACGCACCCUUUUUUGCUCCAAGCCUGGUUUUCAAAAGCCUCUUGAUGGUCUUGUUGGCUGCUUCUACUUGUCCAUUCGAUUGAGGGUGAGCAGGCGAGCAAUACUUCAGCUCUAUCCCGAGGUUCUGGCAGAAAUCCCUGAAGCUGUGAUUAUCGAACUGCCUGCCAUUAUCCGUUACCAAGGCAUAAGGGAUCCCGUAUCGACAGACCAGGUUUCUCCACACGAAGUCUGUUGUUUUCUUCUUUGUGAUCCUGCUAAGGGCUUCUACCUCUAUCCACUUCGUGAAGUAAUCUAUAGCAACUAUUGCAUGUGUUGCUGCUCCUUGUGCCUUUGGCAAUGGGCCGAUCAGAUCAAUUCCCCAUUGAGCAAAUGGCCAAGGGGAGGCCAUGGAGGUGAGCUUCUCUGGGGGUUGGUUAGAGAAAUUUGCAAAACUCUGGCAGCUUACACAACUCCUGGUCUUCUCUUGCGCAUCCUGGUGCAUUGUCGGCCAGAAAUAUCCCUGCCUAAGAACCUUGUGGGCCAGGGACCUCCCGCCAGAAUGAUUUCCGCAAAUUCCUUCAUGUACUUCUCUCAGUACGUAAUCCGCGUCGUCCUCAUCCAAACACCGAAGGAACGGUAGUGUAUAUCCUCGCCGAUACAGCGCCCCAUCAAUCAUCGUGUAUCUCGAGGCCUGGGCUCUAAUCUUGCGAGCUCGCAGCUUAUCUGGUGGUAAUACUCCGUCUCUAAGGUAUGAAACUAUCGGGUCCCUCCACGAGCAUUUUUGUUCUAUCCGCAACACCCCCGAAUUCUGAUCGAUACUUGGGCUGGACUUCACCUCCAGAGGGACCGACUUUGGCAUUUUUGGGUCGGCUACUGCUGCCAUCCUCGCCAAAAUGUCUGCUCGACUAUUCUGCUCCCUGGGGAUCUGUACCACCUCCACUGCUUCGAACUUCCCCAUCAUCUGCCUGACUAUCUUCAGGUACUGCUCCAUCUUCUCCUCUCUUGGUUGGAAUCUUUCACUGACGUGAUUCGCAACCAGCUGGGAAUCAGUUCUGAUCUUAACUCUGUCUUCUUUCACGGCCUUAGCCAAUUCCAGACCUGCUAUCAAGGCUUCAUACUCUGCCUGGUUAUUUGUGGCUGCAAAUUCCAACUUUACAGCAUAAGAGAUCUCCUCCCCCUCAAGGCCUUCCAGGACAAUCCCUGCUCCUGAACCCCGCUCCCCUGAUGACCCGUCCACAGACAUCUGCCAUACUUGAUUUUCGUCAUUGCCUAUAACUGCAUCCUGUUGAUCUGAGCAUACUUCGGGCUCUGUGAAUUCAGCUACGAAAUCGGCCAUUGCCUGGGCUUUUAUCGCUGCGCGGGGUUUAUAGUCUAUGUCGAACUCGCUCAGCUCUACAGCCCACUUGACGAGCCGACCAGAGGCAUCUGGCUUGUGCAGAGUUUGACGCAAUGGCUGGUUUGUUAUUACCGAGACCGGGAAUGCUUGAAAAUAUGGCCUCAACUUCCGAGCAGCAACCACAAGGGCAAGUGCCCAUUUCUCCAACAGUGGGUAUCUAGUCUCAGCGUCGAGUAGGGCCUUGCUGGUGUAGUAUAUCGGAUACUGAACUCCUUCUUCCUCUCUCACCAGAACAGAACUGGCGGCCCGAUCCGACACCGCCAAAUACAGAUACAACUUGUCCCCAUCCCUUGGUGUGGACAGCAGCGGAGCUUGCUGCAAGUAUUGCUUCAAGUUCUGGAAGGCUUCCUCGCACUCUGGGGUCCAUUCUGUUUUCUUUCCCCUCCUUAUCACUUGAAAGAAUGGCUGACACUUAUCUGUAGCCUUGGAGAUGAAUCUGCUCAACGCCGCCAACCUCCCUGUGAGGCUCUGCAUCUCCUUCAGGUUACGAGGAGACGUCAUUUGCACAAUCGCCUGGAUUUUCUCGGGAUUUGCUUCAAUCCCCCUAUGGCUCACCAUGAAUCCAAGGAAUUUCCCUGACUCGACCCCAAAAGCACACUUUUCCGGGUUGAGCUUCAUCUUAUACUUCCUCAAAAGCUCGAAUGUCUCCUCGAGGUGUCUGACAUGUUCCUUCGGGAUUUUGGACUUGGUGAUCAUGUCAUCCACGUACACCUCCAUGGUUUUCCCAAUCAACGGCUUAAAGACUUUGUUCACCAGCCUUUGAUAGGUGGCCCCAGCAUUUUUGAGACCGAACGGCAUUACCCUGUAACAGAACAAACCUUGGUUAGUGACGAAAGCCGUGCUCUCCUCAUCCUGCUCGUACAUGGGGAUCUGGUUGUAUCCCGAGAACGCGUCCAUGAAGCUGAGCAGACCAUGUCCAGCCGUUGAAUCUACUAGCUGAUCGAUCUUUGGUAGAGGGAAGCUGUCUUUUGGGCACGCCUUAUUGAGGUCUGUGAAAUCCACACACAUCCUCCACUUGCCGUUUGCCUUCUUUACCAACACCACAUUCGAUAUCCACUCAGGGUAACUGACUUCCCGAAUGAACCCUGCUCUCAAGAACUUCUCCACCUCGCUAUUUAUUGCCUCAUACAUCUCCUGGUUGAAGCACCUCCUCUUCUGCCUUACUGCCCGAGCACCUUUCUUUAUUGCCAGCUUAUGACAUGCUACCUCAGGGUCAAUCCCUGGCAUGUCUUCAUGUGUCCAAGCAAACACAUCAGAAUGAGCCUGUAAGCAUUUCACCAACUCCUGCUUUUGCUCUCCCUCAAGCCUCGACCCGAUUCUGAUCAUCUUUCCCGGAUUCUCUGGUCCCAGGCUUACUGUUUCCAGAUCUUCUACAGGUUCUUGUCUGCCCUUCUUGUUUUCCACUCGGGUAUCGAGGGAUGUUAUCUGCAUUGCUUCCCUUGCUGCCGAGGAGUAGCAGCUUCUUGCGAUCCUCUGGUCUCCUCGUACCACUCCUACUACCCCAUUCACCCGGUACUUCAGAGCGAGAUAGUGGUUGGACAACACCGCUUUGCUCAUCCUUAAAAAUGGCCGACCUAGGAUCAUCUGGUAAGGACCUUCCUCGUCCACUACGACAAAGUCCAGUAUCAUUGUUCUUUCUGUCAGGGAGCUCCCAAUUGUGAUAGGCAGCUCGACCACGCCCAGAGGGACCAGCUUCCCUCCUCCGAACCCCUUCAAGGAGGUAUUGGUGUAUUCCAACUUUCGGUCGGCUAUUCCCAUCUCUUCCAGGGUUGACUUAAAUAACACAUCAACUGAGCUCCCUGUAUCAAUCAGUAUCCGGUCAAACUUCUUGCUAGCGACAGUAGCCUUGAUGACUAAAGCAUCAUCGUGGGGGUAUAGAAUCCCUUCCUCAUCCUCAUCCGUCCACAUGAUUGGCACUUGCCUGACCCUUGCUCGUUUGGCUGCUGGGGUGUUGAAGAGUACCUCUUUACUGGUCAUGGCGUACCUAGCAUAAUUUUUUCUCGAUCUGUUGGAAUCUCCGGCCAAUGUUGGGCCCCCAGCUAUCACCCUUACUGCGGGCUGCUCGCGCCUCAAGUUUCUACCACUCUGCUCCCCUUCACCUGUUGUGGCCACCAUCGGGAAAGUCCCAUCCAUAAACUCGUCCAGGUACCGAUUUCUCACCAAAUCUUCGACCUGGAUCUUGAGAUCUCUACACUCUGCCGUGGUAUGGCCAUGGGUGCCAUGGAACUUACAAUAACGUCUUCUAUCCCUCCUGUUGGGUAGCUUUGUUAUUGGUGUAGGGAGGUGCAGCAGACCUCGAUCCUUUAUGGCCUCGUACACCUCAUCCAGGGACAUCUUCAAGGAAGUGUACCGCCCAUAGUCCGGGUCCUGGUCGAUCAGGUGCACUGCUCUUUCUCUGUUUGCCCCGCUUUGAGUUGGGGGCGGUGGAAGUAAUUCUGGUCUGCUCGCUCUGCUACCAUGUUGGUGAAGACCACCAGAUGCCGACUCAUGCCUUCUCCAAGGCUCCCUAGCUGGGGAACGAGGAGGUUGCGCCCCGCUGCGCUGAUACUGUGGUGGCCUCUGAUGAGGCUGGUAAGCAGUUACCCGACCUCCUGCUCUACUACCGGAGGCCUGGUGGUCUCUCCUCCUGAUCGGCCCAUUCCCCGGUAAUGCUUUCUUCUCUUUCCUCCCCAACCCUUCCAACUGGUCUGUCUUAAUCCGUGCAGCCUUCUCCUCUUCAAUCUCGAUGUCUCUCUUAGCCUGUUCGUAUGCGGCUGCAUACGUUUGAAUAGCUGGGCUUCUCAAAUUGUACCACAACCUUCCUAUCUUCACCCCUUCUUUCAAUCCCCUUAACGCCUGAGGGUGGUUGAAGGCUCCCAAGUCGAGGACAGCCCGAUGAAACCUCUUGAUGAAUUCCCGAAGGGUUUCUUGCUCCCCCUGUUUCAUGCUUUUCAGCUCCAUCAUGUCGUCUUCCGGUGCCAUUGCCCCACUAAACUGCUCCGCGAAUUCCUGGCACAUCUGCUCGAAGGUUUUAAUGCUGCCCCGAGGAAGUUUCCUGUACCAUUCUCGUGCACGUCCCUCAAGGGAUAGUGGGAACACCCUGCACCUUUGGGAUUGAGAUAAUCCUUGUACCCCAGUUAUGUCGUUGAAGCGCUCUAUAUGCACCAGCGGAUCAGUUCUUCCCGAGUAUCUGAGGUCUGGGAGGCGGAAAUCUCUCGGAAUAACUGCCCUCAUGAUUUCUGUUGCGAGCGGCGAUUCUCCGUCCAGCAUUAUCCUCCAACCAGGGGCUCUGUUCCUUCCUUGCAUGUCGUCAAUUAUCUGCGCUAGUCUGCGCACUUCCCCCUCCAGCUGCAACGCACGACCAGGGUCACGUGCUGCAACUUGAUCCCACUCUUGCUCUACAUCAUGCAAGUGUUGCCUCAACUCUGUUUCCUCUGCAUUCACCACCCCGUCGCCCUCGUCACCAGUCUGUCUUGCUGGGGACUGCUCUCUUUCUCUAUGAAAUUCUCCCUGCAGAGGUACGUUACCUCUCUCACCACCAAAUCUCCCGGGGGUUUGACUUCUCCCCGCACUAUCGGGACCUGGUGCCACUCCACCGCCUCUCACCCUUCCCUCUUGGGUUACCCUUCGCUCGCUCCGCAGCUCAUGCAGGAUGGUUGUCAAGGUCUCCAUCUGCUUUUCCAUCCGUUCCAUCUGGUCGAACAUGACUUUUUCCCGUGCUUCGCUGACUAUCUCCCUCAGCGUCACGGAAUCGUUAAGCCUCCUAUCACCCCCUUGUGCACUACUUCUUCCUGUCUCCAUUGCUUUUCACUUGCUUCACCCCUCUUCUUGCUAUCAACAGAAGCUUUUUGCUCUGGUCCCCACAGACGGCGCCAAAAUGUUGAUGCAGGAUUCCGGUUCUUCUCGUUCUACGACCAGGAUCUCUGCUCGAUCAACUUCGUCACGACCAGGAGGUCUCCUCGCAAGACUUUUUCUCUAGAGAUUCCUGCGCACACAGACAAGUCAGAGUACGCCGGUUGUUUUCCCGGCGCAAACCCUCCGACGCUCAAGUCAGAUAUGAAGGUUCGGGGAACGCUUGCCACCGAUCUUAUGGCUUUUUCGUGGUUUUCUCUUCUUUUUAAUUCCUUUUCUAAUGAGAAAAAUGCCAACCCUUUUACCUCGUCGGCUACCUUUUUAUAGGCUUCCUCUGAAUCCCAGUUUUCCGCUCUUUUCGAGACGGUAUGGGACUCUGACUGCUGCGUUAUGGGCAAACGUGGGAUCUUGCGUGUUACGCCACCGUUCUGGGAAAAGCGCGGCAGUCGUGGUUCUGUGAGAUCUUGCGUGUUACGCCACGGUUCUGGGGAAAGCGUGGCUGUCGUGCCUAGGUUCUCGGGCUGGAGAGCAUGUCUCGUCAACUGCCGUCGACCGGGUCUCCUCGCCUCUCGACCUCUAGCCGGAAUGACCUUAUGCCUCUUACAGGAAAUUGGCCUCGCGGAUGACCUGCUCGUGGACGAGCAGGAUAUUUCUGCUCCUGUUCCCCCGCGUACCAGGCUUUUACGGGACACACCGGUUCGCAGAACUCUGCCAUCAGAUAUCUGCUCACCGUGCCUGGUCUCGUCGACGUAUUUCUCCCAAACACCUGGUAUGACUGCUUAUGCUGGAUUUUAUGAGGUGUGCUCUCCUAAGCAAGGAGAGUGGGUCUUAAUAUGGGCAAGGGUGCAGUUGGUCAGCUUAUGGGGCAGUUUGCAAAGUUACUGGGCUGCUAUGUUGUCGGAAGUGCUGGAAGCAAAGACCAGGUAUACAAACAAACAAUCCGUAUCAGUUGCUUGAUUGUUCCCAUUUUGCUUUCAAAAUAUCUAACUUACAUAAGGAAAAUUUUCACCAUCUCGUCUUUUCUUUGAUUUUGAACGCUAAGAUUGAUCUACUGAAGAAUAGGUUUGGGUUCGAUGAGGCGUUCAACUAUAAAGAAGAUCCUGAUUUGAAUGCAGCCUUGAUAAGGUUAGUAUAUCAGCAAACUACAAAUUAGAAGACAUUUUUUCCUGAAAAUCAAAUAAUGUUUCUAAUUUGACAGGUGGUUUCCUGAAGGCAUUGACAUAUACUUUGAAAACGUUGGUGGGAAAAUGCUCGAUGCGGUGCUGAUCAACAUGAAAAUCGGUGGUCGAAUUGCUGUGUGUGGGAUGAUCUCGCAGUACAACCUUGACGAACCCAAAGGCGUACACAACUUGACGCGUCUUAUUUCGAAACGGGUUCGGAUGGAAGGAUUCCUCGUAUCGGAUUACAAUAAACUCUAUCCGAAAUUUCUGGAAAUGAUCAUUCCUCACAUCAAGGGGGGAAAGAUUGUAUACAUUGAAGACACGGCUGAAGGUCUUGAGAGUGCUCGGGCAGCUCUCGUCGGUCUGUUCUCUGGCCGGAAUCUCGGGAAACAGGUGGUUGCAGUUGCUUCUGAAUGAAUGAAGGAUUUGGUUGUUUACAUCAUGCUUCUACUCGUCCAUUUAUUUAAUAAAAUGGUUACGCUCAAUGAGUGUAAUUUUUAUGAUGCUAAAUUAAAUGUGGAAUGUGGCUGCUGGUUUGAUAAUGUUAAAAGUGCUAAAAAAUUUCAUGUUAGGCGCGGUGUGCGUCUGUAUAUCAUUUUUAGGUACGGGCAUUCUAUCUUUUUUUUUUAAUUAAUACAGACACAUUCUUAAACUGUAUGGUUUAAGAGAGAGUUAAAAAAAACUUUUACCACAUGGUUUAAAAGCGUAUCCGUAUGGAAAAAAAAUGAAAGUCCAUUGGAGAAGAAUUUUAUAUAUAGUCCAGGAUAUUAAAGUGCGGGAAAACUAUAGAGUUUUAAAAACUUAAAAUUUAAAACGUUUAAACUGCACGAUUUAUGUGUUUUUCGAUGUGAUCCCACAUUUUAAAAUUGUGGAUUGGAACAUUUGUCUUUGAGGGAAAAAAAACAAUAACAACAACUUCUUUUGGAGACCGUGGGGCUCAUAUGCAGAUUCAACCCCGAGCUAUACACUGGAUCUGGUGGGCUAGGUUUGAACCCAAAACAAGCUCUAUUCAUUACACGGUUCAGCGGGUUGGUCCAUUUGACGCUUCUAACUUAACAAUUUAAUCAUAAUAAAUUGAAAAAAUAAAAUAAAACCCACGUAUCUAAAUUAUUGUAUUGAGCUAUUGGUGCAGAGAAUAAGUAUAUAUGAGAACAAAAACAACACGAUGUAGUCGCUCGUUUUGUCACUUCUAAAAUCAGGAUUUAGAGCAUCACCAAAAGGCUCUUCAAAUAAGAUUUUAUUACUCAUUUGAAGAGCCACAUCAAUAUUUAAAGCUCCAAAAGACACUCUAAUUAAGAUUCUUCAAAUAAGAAUUGAUUCUCUCUCUUCAAAUUUGGAGAGUUAAUUUCUCCCUCUUCAAUUUAUAUUUUAUUACUUUUCAUUAAAAAAAGAGAGAGAAGUGCUUUAAUUGCUAUUGACUUUUCCUUUUAAAAACUAAUUAUAUGAUUAAAAUAAUAUUAACUUAUUUCUAUUUGAAGAGUCUUUUGGAAAAUAUCAUAUUUUUUCACCCUUCUAUUUGCCACAUAGGUAAGCAAAUAGAUAUUUGAAGAGUAAAAUUUAUAGAGGCUUUUGGAGAUGCUCUUAUGAUAGAGUCAUAGUGUUAACAGUACAUCGGUGUAUAAUUAUUUGUAAUGAAAUUAAUUAAUAUGGGUUUUAUGUUGUCUUUGUCAAUAAUCAAUUAAAUUUUUCGUUUUCAUUUAAAUGUUACUGAUCGAUGAAACAUUUGACUGCGUUCAAGUUAUCUUUUAAUUUUGUGAGAUCCACAUUGUUUUUAUUUCAAAAACAUAAUUUUUCAUAUUAUUAAAAAGCUGUUGCUUGGGCCUAGAGAAAUUGGAUUAAUGAAAUACCUUAAGGGUGUGUUUGACACAUUAUAUUGUAUUAUGUUGCAUUGCAUUAUUUUAUUUGGUGUUGCACUAUACUUUACUAAUUUUUUUGCAAUUAAUUUAAAUUACAUAGUUAGCAAAUAAUAUUUAUUAGUGCUUAGAAAAAUACUAAAUAUAGAAGUCUUAAAUUUUAGAAAUUUAACAAUUUUUUUACUAUAAAUGUUAAAAAAUAUAAUAAUUCUUCAUAAAGAUGGAAGCUUACAGCCUUAAGUUUUUGGAAGCAGAGCAUUUAUUUUUUAGUAUCUUCUAAAUAUAUAAUUUUUGAAAUAAAGAUAUAAGCACAUAAUUUAAUCACAUAGUCUUUAAAUAAUAUAACAACAUAAAUAAAUAGUUAAAAUGUGCAAGAUUAGUUCAAAACUCAUCUUAGGAUGAUAUAAUAAAAGUUUAUACACACCACAAGAUAAUCACAAAAUAAUAAAGUGAUAAAAUUAUUAUAACAUAUUCACUACCAAAAUAAAUUAUAUUAAAUAAUCCAAGUGAGAGUUCUGUAGUUUAUAUAAUAAUAUUAUUUAUGUUAUUAUUAUUAAUUUUAAAUUAAUAUUAUCCAAAUUUAUUCAUACUUAAAUAUGUAUUAUUAGUUAUAUUACAUUAUUUUUACAUAUUAAUUAUUGUAAUAUAAUUAAAUAAUGUAAAAUUAUAUUAUAUUUUUAUAUACUAUUUAAGUAUUUAUUAUUAAUUAUAUUCAAUUAUAAAUUUAUUAAUAAAUUAUAGUGCAAAAAAAAAUAGAAAUAAAAAUUAAUAUUGUAUAAUAAAUAACAUUCUGCUCCCAAUUUCUGGAUUUUAAAUUCCAAAAAUAGUAUUCACGUUCGCCACAUUCAAAAAUCCAACCUGGGCUUGGAGAUUCGAUUCAUCUCAUAGAUUAAUUUUAUAAACUAAUGUUUAGUGAAAAAUUAACCUUAAUGGGUCCUCCUCUCCAGGCCUAAUUCUUAAUUUUUUUUUUAAUUUGGUCCUACUUAAGUGGCUUCUAACGUUACCGUGUCUUUAUUUUGUGUACAGUUGUUUUACUAAUUUGUCAUUUAGUGCAAAUAACAGCACUCAACUUGUAAUAUCCAGUAUCCACAAAUCAGCCACUUCGGCCAAGGCCGAAGUGGUGGGCUGCUGCCCUCACAAUGCUUGUGAGGGCAGCGGUUCUAGCCCCCACAAAAGCAUUGUGGGGGUUAAAUGUUCUUUAUAUUUCCAAAAAAAUCCUUCUCUCUUGCAAAAUGUAAGUGGAGUAUGGACAUCCCUCUCCUGUGAGGGGUUAUUUGUCUGGGCAUGUACUUCAUAGAAUUCAUUGUAAUAAUGUAAGUCCCAAUCAUGUAUAUCUGAUUGUAAAUAUCAGUGUAAUAUCUCUGCUACAAUAAGCAGUUGUUGUAAAUAUCUGUCUGAUGAUUAAUCAGUAUUCAAAAAAAAAAAAGUAUCCACAAAUCAUGAACUCAUUUUUUAGUUCUUUCAUGUGUACUAACAUUCGUACAAAUAUACAAUAAGUUCAUAAUUUAGUCCAAGUUGACGAGAAAUUCUUGACCCACCCCUAAAUAUCUGUCCGCCAAUAGCGUGAAGUGGCCGGCAUAAAUUUAAAGCAGCUGGGACAUUGUAACUCAUCCAAAGAUUGUAUAACAUCUCUUUUUUGCUUUAUCGUUUUUCUCCAGUUGCAUAGUUUCUUAUCCUACCGCUUUAAAAACAAUUAUUCCUAGAAAUUUUCAUUUAUCUAAUGAAUUUUAAGAAUUUUUUCAGCAAACAAUUUUUACUUUUUUUUUUUUUUAUCAUUGAUGGGUAAAGAAAAUAUUAAUGAAAAAUGAGGAGUUAUUGGCUGGUUCAACGGAUUAAUUGCAAUGAUAAAUACAGGGAGGAUUGGAUUAUAUGGCAAAUUUUUAUAGUAAAUGUAAUAUAUAUGCUAACACUUUUUAUUUAUGGCAAAAUAUCUUCCUCUUUUGAGACUUUUCCCUCUAAGAAAAUUGGAGGAUACGACAAUAUAUAUAUAUAUAUAUAUACUAAUAUUUAUCAUUUAUAGAAAAGUAUCUAUCCCACUUAAGAUUUGCCCCACUAGAAAAGGAAAAAAAAAUCCCUCAAAAUAAAAGAGCGAAAUGGAAACAGAACAAAAUUUGAUUUUGUGGAUCUUGUAUUGUGUGAUAAGUCCGGCAUGCAAUUUUGGGCCAGCUUACCGUGCGCAUGGGAGCAUUCACAAAGUAUCUCUCGUCACUAUCGAAAACUUUUAACAGUCAAUACAAAUGCUUCCGUUUCAUCCCAUAAACAAAUAAAAUUCACAUCUGUACACAUCUACUUUGCUUUGCUAGAUAGAGUUCCUCUGCAUUUCCCAAUUGCCUAAAGAGAAGGGGAAAAGAAAAAGAGGGCCAAAAAAUGCCUGAAAUGGUAAGGAACAAGCAAGUGAUAUUGAAGGACUAUGUGUCUGGUUUCCCAAAAGAAACAGACAUGUACAUGACCGAAAGUUCCAUAGAAUUGAAGGUGCCAAAAGGUUCAAAUGGGGUUCUUUUAAAGAACUUGUACUUGUCCUGUGAUCCGUACAUGCGACCAAGAAUGACCUACAUCGAAGGAUCUUAUGUUGAAUCCUUUAAACCUGGCUUGGUUAGUGCACUCGCUCAUGGCCACGCUUUUCAUUUCCAUGGCUUCUUGCUCUUUUGUUAUAGAAAAUUUAUUUUUGGUUGCAGUUUGGUUCGACUGCUAAAAUCUCGUGCGAUAAUUGUAUAAGAUAUCUAGAGUUUGAACUUCUUUCACAUUAGGGUUCAAGGAAGUUAACUUAAAUGAUUUUCAAAAUUUUAAAUGUGUACCAAUGAAUUUAAUUUCAUAGCUUAAACUUAUUGUUUGAUCAUACUCUAACUUUGGACAGGAAAAUUAUAUUUUUCCUUUUGUUCUUUGACUUCGUGUAUGUUGUGUGAAGUACUUGUGCUUGAAAAUGAAUUGCUGACACAGAAAUUUCUAUGAAUGCAUGCAGCCCAUAAGUGGAUAUGGGGUGGCUAAAGUUUUGGAUUCAGAGAAUCCAGAGUUCAACAAAGGUGACUUGGUUUGGGGAAUGACUGGAUGGGAAGAGUAUAGUCUCAUUACGGCUCCACACUUGUUUAAAAUUCAGCACACAGAUGUGCCUCUUUCUUACUAUACUGGAAUCCUCGGUAAACUUUUUGUUUGCGCAAUUUAUGUGAGCAAAUUGUGUCUUCUUUUUCAUAUGUAAAUGUUUUUGAUAUCUUGAUGUGAAGGUAGAAAAUUGCAUGUUUUGAGUUUUUGCAUAUUUGAUGGAAACACAGAACCGUACCUGAAUAUUUCAGAACCCCCUUUUCUUUGAAGUUUGAACACUUUUCUUGAAUGUAUCAACUUUAUUUAUGGGAUAUGUUGCCAAAUUGGCAAAUCUAUUCGUUAUAAAACUUUCCUUUGACAGUUUAAUCUAAGCAGAUGUUAAUUCUGCAAAUAGAGUGUGCCUUAGUUUAGAUUGAUAGAUUUGUCUCCUUCUGUACAGUAAAAACUUUGAGCAUUUUCGCCAUAUUCUGAUCAAUACACUCCAACUAGUUAGUUCUUGAGGCGUUUCCUGGUUUCGUGGAGUGAGCCAAGAUGUAUACGUUUGCAAAUUGGCAAUGUCUUUUGCUUGAUGUGUUGUGAGUUGUGAGUGUCAAUAGGAAAGUUUCAAAGUGCGCAGUGCUCACUUGAGCACCCAUAUUACUUGGUGACCUGUUGCCUCAGCAAACAAGACCUCUGUUUUAUGAACUCCAAAAAGUUAUUCUGUUAAAAAGAUCGAGACAGAGGCCAUACUAUAUUUAUUAUUGCUAUAAAAGUGUCAAACAAUAUUCUUUAUUUAAUAUUCUAAACGAUUGAGCCAUUUAGUUAUGAUACUCUGCUGUACUGGGGCUAAUAAUCUAAGUCGGUUCAAAGUGGUAAAUUUAUAAAUUGAUAGGUAUGCCUGGUAUGACCGCUUACGUUGGAUUUUAUGAGGUCUGCUCUCCUAAGCAUGGAGAGUGCGUCUUCAUAUCAGCAGCAUCUGGUGCAGUUGGUCAGCUUGUGGGGCAGUUUGCAAAGUUAUUGGGUUGCUAUGUCGUCGGAAGUGCUGGAAGCAAAGACAAGGUAUGUAAUCUGUGUGAACUACUUGAUUGUUUCCAUGUUACUUUCAAACAUUUAAAUUAAAAAGGAAAUUUUCAUAAUCUUGCCUUUUCUAUGAUUUUCAACACCAAGGUUGAUCUACUGAAGAACAAGUUUGGGUUCGACGAGGCAUUUAACUAUAAAGAAGAAGCUGAUUUGAAUGCAGCAUUGAAAAGGUUAGCAUCAAUAAAUGCCUUAGCUUGAUGCAGCUUGAUGAAGUAUGAUACACAUUUCUGACCAAUAUACUGCGUUCCCUGAUCUCUUACUUGAAAUAUCUUGGUUUGAGAAUCUCAUGCCAAUGCCUUUAACAUUUUGGCAGGUACUUUCCUGAAGGAAUUGAUAUAUAUUUUGAAAACGUUGGUGGAAAAUUGCUUGACGCAGUGCUACCCAACAUGAAAAUCCGUGGUCGAAUUGCUGCAUGCGGUAUGAUCUCACAGUACAAUCUUGACAAGCCUGAAGGUGUGCACAACUUGAUGUAUCUUGUUUCGAAACGGCUUCGAAUGGAAGGAUUCAUUGUUCUGGAUCACUAUCACCUCUAUCCAAAGUUUCUGGAAAUGAUCAUUCCUCACAUCAAAGAAGGGAAGCUUGUAUACGUCGAAGACAUGGCUGAAGGUCUGGAGAGUGCUCCGGCAGCUCUCAUCGGUCUAUUCUCUGGCCAGAAUGUUGGGAAACAGGUGGUUGCUGUUGCUCCUGAAUGAAGAACAAGUUAGUGUUGUGUGUUCUUUUACCCUUUGACACAAAACUUCAAUGUUAAAGAGAGAAUGCUGCUCAUACUGCUUUAUAAAAUAAUCAAAUGAGUGCAAGUUUCAUGAUAUGUGCUGAAUAAAAAUAUUGGAAAUUAAGCAGCUAGCCUAGCUCCUUCUUGUAGUUGCAGUUUGAAUGAUGCUGCUGCACAACUGCUGCCGAAAAAAUCCUUAAUAGAUGAUUAGCAAGGUUUCAAAAAUAAAAAUAAAUGUUUGUGCAAUGUGCCGAAUAUGACAGCCACAAAGAAAGAGCAUACAAAUUGACUGGUUUUAUGUCUUCUCUAGGAGAAAGCUACAAUACAAGAAAUUGUAUUGAUGCCAUGGACCAAAUUUCUUAUUUAAACUUUUAAUUUUUUUUUAUUAAAAUUACUUAUGUUAUUAUGGUUUAUAUUUUUAGAAAUUCUUUAGAAAUUAAUACAGAACUAGUAGCAAGUUGAGAAAUCUAAUGAAUGGUCGAGAUAUGAUCAUGUUUAUUGAAUUAAAUUGACAAUCAUCAUUUUGAUAAAUUAUUGUUAGGAUAUUUGAUUCAUCACAGGUGUAAGUAACUAAAUGUGCUAAAAAAAAAGUUAAUGAGUUGUGAGUGUUUGAUAUUCGUUUGUUGUAAUUCUUUUAAUAAUUGUUGUGGGAAAAAAAUUAUGGUAAAAAAAUUAUAAUUAUAAAAUAAAAAUUAAUAAUAUAUUAUAAAUAAAAUUUUUAAAUAAUAAUUUUAAUAAAAUAAUAAAUAUAUUAUGAAUUUUUCAUUAUAAAUUUUUAAGUUAAAAUAAUAAAUAUUUAUUAAAUAUUUUAAUAGCACAACUUUUAAAUUAUAACAGUACAAUGUAAAUACCAGAGGUCUUAAAAAAUAAAAUUACAGUCAAGUUUUAAAACUGUUAAUAAUGCUAUUCAUAAAGGCGCUCGUCGUGUAAACAACACAUGGGACCCAACCAAUAAAUGUUUAUGAUCCUCAACUUUCCUCCUCACCGUCCCUGCAAACAAUUCUGAUUUUCUUGUCUGAGAAAAAAACUGAGAAACAAUGGCGGCCGAACAAGAAGCUGUGAGCAAUAAGCGGGUGAUUCUAAGCAACUAUGUGACAGGUUUUCCAAAAGAAUCGGACAUGAAGAUAACAUGUGGAUCAAUAAAACUGGAGGUAGCAGACGGUUUAAAAGACACGGUGCUUUUGAAGAAUCUUUAUAUUUCUUGUGAUCCUUACAUGCGAGAGCGUAUGAGCAAGCUUGAUAGACCUUCUUUUGUUGAUUCAUUCCAUCCUGGUGAGGUUAGUUCAUCACGACCCAUCUCUUGAUUUUUUUUUUUUUUCAUUUGCUUCAAGUUUUGAUGAGUUUCUGAGGUCAUUUGUACGGUUUUGGAAUGUGAACACUAUUAGUGAUUUUGGGGCUGUAACUGUCAUUAAUGAUAUGUAGUAAUUCAAUCAGAAUUUGGAUUUAGUGCUGAUAUGAUCUCUGCUCAUUUUUUAAAAUCUUGUGUCCAGAUGCAUUUUUAUAAUCUUGUACGGUUGAGAUUGUAAGUAGAUUAAUCUACGUGCAGUAUUCUUGUCUAAUGACUACUAACCACAACCUUAUGAGACGAUCGAAACCAAGCUCAGAUCAAUAAUCCAAUUGAGAGAGGGUCCUAACUCAAGCUUAUCGUGUGUAGGAAUAUUUCGGUUAAAUUGUAAUUCUUUUAAUAAUUGUUGUGAAAAAAAAAAAGUUAUGAUAAAAAAAUUAAUAAUUAUAAAAUAAAAAUUAAUAAUAUAUAAUAAAUAAGAUUUUUAAAUAAUAAUUUUAAUAAAAAAUAAUAAAUACAUUAUCAGUUUUUCAUCGUUAAUUUUUAAGUCACAACCACAAAUAUUUACUAAACACUUUAACACCAUAAUUAACACCACAACUAUUGAAUUAUAACUGUACAAUCUAGACGCCAAGAGGCCUUAGUAUGAAAAAAAAAAAUUACAGUUAAGUUAAAAUUCAUCAUACAGAUGUGCCACUUUCAUACUAUACCGGGAUCCUCGGUAAUGAUUUUUGUUACACAAUAAGAUUUGCUUAUAGUAAUAUCAAUACAUAUGCUGCUUAAAUGCUUUCUGAUUUUUUGCCGGCCAUUGUCCAUUUUGCCAGGGAGUCUAUAAUUGAAGGAAUUUACUGAAGGAAUGCUGAUUGUUGGGAAUUUGAUUAUUCUAGGUAUGCCUGGUGUAACUGCAUACGCUGGUUUAUACGAAGUUUGCUUUCCGAAGAAAGGAGAGUAUGUCUAUGUAUCUGCAGCAUCUGGAGCUGUUGGUCAGCUUGUUGGACAGUUUGCAAAAUUAGCUCGUUGCUAUGUUGUUGGAAGUGCAGGAAGCAAAGAAAAUAUAGCACCGUGCCUUCUAGCAGAAUUUUACUUGCUUUAUGUUCCAACUAAGCAUCCAUAUUUGAUCAUGAUAAUUAGCAAGGUCAAUAAUUUUUUUUUGACUAUUUUUUCAACGUAAGGUCGAUUUGUUGAAGAACAAGUUUGAACGAUGCUUUUAACUACAAGGAAGAGCCUGAUUUGGAUGCAGCACUCAAAAGGUCAGCUGCAACAAACGUUUCAACUCUAAUAUUUCAUUUUAAUAUUACAGAGCUUUGGUUGAAGUGUGUGAGUUGAUCCCAGAAACGUAACUUCAUCAGUGUCUCUGUUUUCAAAAAACAGGACAAAUAGAAAUCUGAUUUUGCUUUAAAAUUUCCCAGAUGCUUCCCUCAAGGAAUCGACAUAUAUUUCGAAAAUGUUGGGGGAAAGAUGCUGGACGCAGUGCUACUCAACAUGAGGCUCCGGGCCGCAUUGCAGUAAGCAGUAUGAUCUCACAGUAUAACCUGGAAAAACCCGAAGGCGUUCACAACUUAGAGCAACUGAUCGGGAAACGGAUUCGCCUGGAAGGAUUUCUAGCUGGUGAUUACUAUCACCUCUAUCUGAAAUUCUUGGAACUGGUCAUUCCUCCAAUCAGAGAAGGAAAGAUGCUGUAUGUGGAAGACAUGGCCGAAGGACUCGAGAAAAUUUCUCGUAACUGCUACACAUUAAACGCGUUUCACAUUUCCACUCUCUUUCUAUAAAUAAAUACGCACAUAAAAUUUCUCACCAUCCAAAAACAAAAUCUACAUAAAAAAUGGCGGGUGAAGAAGCAGUGAGCAACAAGCAGGUGAUUCUGAGCAACUACGUGACAGGGUUUCCCAAGGAAUCAGACAUGAAGAUAAUAACAGGCUCAAUAAACCUUAAGGUGCCAGAGGGUUCAAAAGACACAAUGCUUUUGAAGAAUCUUUAUCUUUCUUGUGAUCCUUACAUGAGAGGACGUAUGAGCGAGCUUGAUAAGCCUUCGUUUGUUGCCUCAUUCGAGUCUGGCGAGGUCAGUUACUUCAAUUCCCAUCUCUUGGUUUCAUAAUCUUUUAUGGUUUUAGAAGGUGUUUUAGGGAAACAUUGUGGUUUUGGUUAGUGGGCAUGAGUCUUUGAAGAGAUUAUAAUGUGUAGGACUAUGCAUGCAAUAAUAAGCAUAGGGGAUCUUGUUAGGAGAAGAUUCUCUUAGCAAAAUAAAAACUUUUAUCUUAUCAAAACAUAUGCAGGGAACUUAGUUAUGAUGUCAUGUUAGCAUUAUCUCUGAGGAUUUGAUUUCUUGAUGGGGAAAGGGGAAUUUAAGGUUACAUUAUUCAGCAAUGUUUUUUUUUUAAAAAAUUAUGUUCAAAUUAUGCAGCCUUUAAGCGGAUAUGGAGUGUCCAAAGUGUUGGAUUCCACGCCUCCAAAUUAUAAGAAAGAUGACUUGGGUGGCGUUUGUUUUUUAACUUAAUGACUUAAAGUGACUUAACUUAAUUAAUUAAGUUAAUUAGAGAUGUUUGUUUUUAUAACUUAAUGUGACUUUUUAAAUAAUUUUGACUUAAUAAAAUAAGCCAAUUUUAUUUACUUUUUACUUAAUAGAGACAUCUGAAUUAAGUCAAGUACUUUCUAAUGUCAAAAAUAUACAUGCUUUAUAAUUUAUUUUUCAUGUCUAUCCCAAAACUCACCCAUAGACAUUUACCCCACAUAAUAAUCUCAUCAUUAUUUUUUUAGCCGUCAUGAAAUCCCUCCUCACUUUGGUAUCAACUCCUCAACUAUUGAAGAUCAAAAUUACAUGCGACAACUUCGAGAUGAAUGGCAAAUCAACUGUUUCAAGCAUCUUAUUCGUUUUUUUUCUUUUUUAUAUUAUAUACGAUAAAAUUUGAAAUUUAUGGUAUUUUAUAUAUUAAAAUUCCAAAAUCAUUAUAUAUUCACUUGAAUAUAGUUUUACUUAUAAAUGUUAAAAUAUUGUGAUAUUUAAUAUAUUAUUUAUUUGACAUUCAAAUUUAAUAAGGAUACAAAUGUAAAAGUACAUAUUUUUCAGUUUUUUAAGUUGAAAAAAGCAAACAACUUAAUAAUUAUUUUUCGAGAUUCAGACGAAAAAACAAACAUAUUAUUCAGAUUCAGACAUUCAGAUCUAUUCAGAAUUUAGACUAAUUCAGGUCUAUUCAGAUUUCAGAUAAAAAAACAAACGCCACCUUGGUCCGGGGCUUAACCAGUUGGGAGGAGUUCAGUCUCAUCCAAUCACCACAACUUCUGAUUAAAAUUCUGGAUACAAGUGUGCCUCUGCCAUAAUUAAUUGACAGGUUGCUAUGUUGUUGGAAGUGCCGGAAGCAAAGAAAAGGUGAGUUUGCACCCUUAACCCUUACGCUCUAAAUAAAAACAUAACACCUUCUGAAAGAAUUGUGCAUAGAGAAUUUUGCAUGUCACAUUAUUUGUGUUCUAACUAAUCAUGGAUAUUUGAUCAUUAGUCUAACUAAAACUGACAUAUUACCACCUAGUUGACUGGUCUUUGAGAAAUGUUAGUUGAUAUAUGCUUGAAAUCAUACUUGUUUUAUUAGAUGAUUAUAUUAACCUGCUUCUUUUUCUUUGUGCUGUUUCUCGUUUGAUUACAUUUUCAACAUUAGGUCGAUCUAUUGAAGCACAAGUUUGGGUUUGAUGAUGCCUUUAACUAUAAGGAAGAGCCUGACUUGGAUGCAGCUCUUAAUAGGUUAGCACGAAUGAAUGCUUUAACCAUUUUUCUCACUUCAUUAUUACAAUGCGCUGAUUGAAGUAAUCAGUGUUGGCUCUGAAAAUGUAACGUAUACUUCUCUGUUUUCAUAAAACAGGACAAACAGUGAUCAGUGAUCUCAUUCGUUACAUUGAUAUUUUCUACCAUUGCCAUACAUAGUAUAAACUAGGAAUUCAGUUGCUUAAUAGAUAUUCAUUUCAGAGGGAAAUUUUCACUUGCAGCUAACAGAAUCAUGUUUGUGAUGUAUGUUUAUUUGGGAAAUGAAAGGAUUUGUUGCAUUAUUUUAUUCCAAGUUUGCUGAAAUCAUAUUUGUUUUCCCAGGUGCUUUCCUGAAGUUAUCGACAUCUAUUUCGAAAAUUUUGGAGGUAAGAUGCUUGAUGCAGUGCUACUCAACAUGAGAAUUUGUGGCCGCAUCGCUGUAUGCGGAAUGAUCUCACAGUACAACUUUGAGAAGCCUGAAGGUGUACACAACUUGAUGCAAGUAGUUGGAAAACGAAUUCGCAUGGAAGGAUUUCUUGCCAGUGAUUUCUACCACCAAUAUCCAAAAUUCUUGGAACUGGUUAUGCCGGCAAUCAAAGAAGGAAAGUUAGUAUAUGUCGAGGACAUAGCUGAAGGCCUCGAGAAAGCUCCAUCAGCCCUAGUUGGGAUAUUCACAGGUCAAAAUGUUAAAAAACAACUGGUUGUAGUUGCUCGGGAAUGAUAUGAUUACUAUAUGCUUUAAAAAGUGGACUUUGCCAUGCACUUUAAAAGCUUAGUGAAGAUGCCUUUGUCUUAUUUUUGAUACAUGUUAUGUUUGUUUGAUCAAGUUGUACUCAGCUAUAAAUCAAAGAUUCAGAACAUGUGUAUGAUACUGGUUUCUAAAUCAAUGAACGCGUUGAAAUGUUAGUGUUUUCACAGGAGAAUGCAAUUUAAUUCAUCAACAAUGUCCCAACAAGACCCUCAGAGCUGUAGCUUGUAAAGUUAAUUACGAUAUUUUUUUGUAAAGUAAAUUACCAUAUUUUUUUCUUUCCAAUAUAUUGCUUAUUUCAUAGAAAGUUUACAUUAAAGUCUCAUGUUUCUUUGAAAGGUAAGCAAGUGUGAACGUUUCAAUCUAGAGCUGGAAAAUGCAUUUCCGGGCAACUUACUUGAUACAUGAAGUUUUCAUCUCUGACCUUGAUGUUUCCCAUAGUUGCAUUCAUUUCAGCUGAUCUAUUUAAUUUUGUUUUCGAAGGAGUGACACAAAAUCUCCUUUGUUAAGGGGAGAAUUUAGAGUGGCUUUGACUGUUAGCAAAUAGCCUAAUGUAAGACUUAACCAACUUCCUGCCCUGUUGUAUGCUUAUGAAUUUUGAUAGAGCUAAGAGUUUGCAGAAGCUACUGUAUUAUUUGUCGUUAGAGGCUGUAAAAAUCAAACACAUUUAAAUUUCAAUGAAAAUUUACUGGAAGUAAAUUUCCUAUGAUCCCACAGGUGACUAAUUAAUGAGAACUUGACAAUGACAAAAGAAAGUCUAUGAACUUUGCAGGCUGGCAUGCCAAUAUUGACUGGGUGGCACCAUCCACCAUCUGCAAGUGAAUAUCAUUGUUGUUUAAUCAACAAGGUGGAGUCCACUGGGACCACACCACAUCGUCAGCCUUAUCUCUAUUCCUCAAUUUUCAGUAUUCCAUACAUCAAACCAAUUUCAGUUUUGUUAUCAAUUAUAAUUUUAUUGUUGGUGACGAUUCUGAUUCCUUUCUGACAAAAGGGAACCAUGGCUGCUGCUGGAGAGAUCUUACUCAACGCCUUCUUUCAGGUACUGUUCGACAGGUUGGCUUCUCGUAAUUUGCUCAGCUUUGUGCGUCAACUCCAAGGCGGGGUUGAUUCGGAGCUCAAAAAGUGGGAGAAAAAGCUGAAGAUGAUUCGGGCUGUGCUCUGCGAUGCAGAGGAGAAGCAACUGACUGACGAGGCUGUGAAGAUGUGGCUGGACGAACUCCAAGACUUGGCUUAUGACGCUGAGGACACUCUUGAUGAGUUUGCUACUCAAGCUUUGGAAAGCAAGUUGAUGGCGCAAAAUCACGAUAGUUCUGGCCAGGUUCUCAGUUUCAUCCCGGCUGGUUUGAAUCCGAAUGCUAUUAUGUUCAAUUAUAGCAUGGGGUCCAAGAUGAAAGAUAUUACUAGCCGGCUGGAGCAACUCUGCCAAGAAAGAAUUGAACUUGGACUGCAACGGAUUACCGGAGAGGCAUCAUCAACUGCUGCUGCUGCACACCAGAGGCCACCCAGUUCGAGUGUCCCAACAGAACGUGAAGUAUUUGGAAGAGAAAAAGAUAAGGCCAAAAUUCUUGAUAUGUUAUUAGCCGAUACCAUAAGUGAUCAUGCUAACUUUGUUGUAAUACCCAUUGUUGGCAUGGGUGGGAUAGGAAAAACAACUCUCGCUCGGGAGGUUUACAAUGACAAAGCCGUUGGAGGUUCCAAGUUUGAUGUAAAAGCAUGGGUUUGUGUAUCUGAUGUCUUUGAUGUUUUGGGCAUCUCAAAGGCACUUCUCGAGUCAAUCACCCGCAGGCCUUGUCUUCUAAACAGUUUAAAUGAAGUGCAGGUUGAAUUGAAAGUAGCUGUGGAUAAGAAAAGAUUCUUGCUGGUCUUAGAUGAUGUUUGGAACGAGGACUACAGCUUGUGGGUAGACUUAAAAGCUCCGUUCCUGGGUGCUGCACCAAACAGUAAGAUGAUCGUCACCACACGCAAUUCAAAUGUUGCAUCAACAAUGGGACCAAUUGAACAUUACAAUCUCAAGAGUCUGUCAGAUGAUGAUUGCUGGUCCAUUUUCAUAAAGCAUGCAUUUGAAUCUAGAGAUCUUAACGCACAUCAAAUUUCAGAAUCAUUCCGCAAGAAAGUUGUUGCCAAGUGUGGAGGCUUGGCCCUGGCAGCAAAAACACUCGGAGGCCUUCUGCGUACGACGAGGCAUGAUGCGUGGGAUGAUAUAUUAGAGAGCAAAAUAUGGGAUUUACCUCGACAAAGUGGGGUUCUCCCAGUAUUAAGAUUGAGUUACCAUCAUCUUCCUUCUCAUUUGAAAAGAUGUUUUGCUUUUUGUGCCAUCUUUCCAAAAGAUUAUGAAUUCACUGAGAAGGAGCUGACUUUCUUAUGGAUGGCUGGAGGUAUUAUUCGACAGUCAAGAAACAAUGAGCAGCUGGAAGAUUUGGGCAGCAAGUGCUUUGGUGAUCUAGUGUCGAGGUCAAUUUUUCAGCAAACAGCAAGCUCUGAUAGUUCUAAAUUUGUAAUGCAUGACCUUAUUCAUGAUCUUGCUGAAUUGGUCUCUGGAGAAACCAUAUUCAGGUUAGAGGAGGCCAAUACUCUGUCAAGAAGAUUUGAAAGGGUUCGCCAUUCUUCCUAUGCUUGUGGUGGAUGUGAUGGUAAAAAUAUGUUCGUGGUUUUCAAUGAAAUUGAACAUCUACGAACAUUCUUGCCAUUACGCUUACGCAUAAGAGGUGGCUCUAAUACUAGUUACAUAACUCGUACGGUUCUAUCUGAUUUGCUGCCGAAGUUCAAAAUGUUGAGAAUGCUAUCUUUACAAGGAUACCGUAUUGGUGAGUUACCAAUUCCAUUUGAAGAUUUGAGACUACUAAGGUUCCUCAACCUUGCUGACACUGACAUAAGAAGUUUACCUGAGUCAACAUGCAAAUUGCUGAACUUGGAAAUUUUGAUAUUAAGAAAUUGUUCCUAUUUGAUAAAGCUUCCGCAGAAAAUGAGGAAUUUGAUCAAUUUACAUCACCUCGAUAUAAGAGGUGCGAAGUUGCUGAAGGAGAUGCCAUUCGGAAUGAAAGAGUUGAAGAAGCUUCAAACAUUGUCCAAUUUCAUCGUGGGCAAGGGCGAAACUGCAUCUGGUUUGGAAGAUUUAAAAUGUUUAAACUUUCUUGGUAAUGAACUUUGCAUUGCUGGAUUAGAGAAUGUGAAUAAUCCACAGAAUGCAAGAAGAGCCGCAUUAUGCGAGAAGCUCAAUCUUGAAGCAUUGACUCUAGAAUGGGGGUCUCAAUCUGACAGUCCUCGAGAUGCAGUACCAGAAGAGAAUGUACUUGACACUCUACAGCCGCAUAAACGUAUAAAAGAGCUGGCAAUCAGACACUAUGGUGGUGCAAGAUUUCCACUUUGGAUCGGAGAUCCUUCAUUCUACGAGAUGAAGGUCCUUAAAUUGGAGAACUGUGACAAUUGUGUAUCUUUGCCGUCGCUUGGCCUGAUGAGUUCACUUAAGCACCUUGCUGUUAAAGGGCUGAAGAAACUAAAAAGCAUAGAGUCUGAGGUUUAUGGGGAGGGUUUCUCAAUGCCUUUUCCGUCACUGGAGAUUCUAAGUUUCGAGAAUUUGCCAGAAUGGGAGCAUUGGGACACCGAGAUCAAAGGAAAUGCGCCUGUUGAUUUAUUUCCUCGUCUCCAAGAACUUUCCAUUGCAGAAUGUCCCAAACUCUCUGGACAACUGCCUGAGCUCCUGCCUUCCUUGAAGACACUUGUUGUUAGUAAAUGUGAAAAGUUGGUAGUUCCAUUGUCUUGCUAUCCAAUGCUUUGCAGAUUAGAAGUUGAUGAGUGCAAAGAACUAGUCUGCCGGACUCCGAUUGAUUUUAAGUUGAUAAAGUCCAUGACUAUUUCAAAUAGUUCAUUAGACAUGAAUGGACGCAAGGGGAUGUUAUACGAUGGUCCAGCUGGCUCUUCACUGCCAAACCCCAUGACUACUACAAAUGUUUUAGAGUUUGGAAAAUUAUUGAAGCCUGGAUUUCAGAUAUUCGAAACUUUGGUAAUUGGCAAUUCUGAACAGCUCAAGUUAUGGAGGCAGCAUGGGGAUUUUCCGAAAAAAUACAUGGUCACUGACCAUGGGUUCAAGAAACCAGUACGAGGGCUGAAUAUGCUCGCUUCCCCUGAAGAGGUAACAAUUGAAGAAAGUUGCGUACGUCUUGUUUUGAUUCCAGAGAUCAAUUUCCUUCUCAGAAAUCUGCGCUCUCUUAUAAUUAACAACAGCACUGCUUUCAAAUCCUUACCCGAGGAAAUGAUGGAAAACAAUUCACAACUCGAAAGAUUGUAUAUCAGAGAUUGCGACUCUCUAAUAUUCAUCGCAAGACGGAGGCUACCAGCAUCUCUUAAAAGGUUUGAGAUAGGAAAUUGUGAGAAAUUGCAACGUCUGUUCGAUGAUGAAGAGGAUGCUUCUUCUUCUUCUUCUCCUUCAUCCUCGUCUUCCCCAGUGAUGCUGCAACACCUGAGUAUAGAGAACUGCCCAGAGCUCACCAGUUUAUCAUCGGGUGUCCAAUUCCUUGAGGCGCUUGAAGACCUCGUGAUACAGCAGUGUCGAAAGCUGGAGUCAAUACCGGAUGGCCUGCCCAAUCUUAAAUGUUUACAGAGCAUUAAUAUACGGGAAUGUCCAAGUCUUGUUUCCUUAACAGAAAGAGGGCUUCCCAACACCAUUUCAUUUGUUUACAUUUGCAGAUGUGACAAGCUCGAAGCCUUGCCCAAUGAUUUGCACAAACUCAGCUCUCUUCGAGAAUUAUUCAUACAGCUCUGUCCAAAUCUUGUAUCGUUUCCAGAAGAAGGUUUUCCUACCAAUCUAACAACACUUGUAAUUGGAGAUUUCAAAAUGUAUAAGACACUCGUCCAGUGGGGGUUGCACAGGCUUACCUCUCUUAAACGCCUCUGGAUUGCUGUACGUGAUGAUGAAGCAGAGUGUUUUCCAGACGAGGAGAUAGGAAUGACGCUGCCCACCUCUCUCACUGAUCUGCACCUUUUUGAUUUCGAAAAAUUGAUAUCUCUGUCUGCGACGGGUUUUCAGAGUCUCACCUCUCUUCAGAGUUUGUGGAUCGGGAAUUGCCCGAAUCUCACAUCAUUUCCAGAGGUGGGCCUUCCAUCCUCACUUUUGGGCUUAGACAUUAGAUAUUGUCCAAAGCUUAAAACAGCGUGCAAAAGAGAUGAAGGAAAAGAGUGGUCC
rnacentral:lncRNA from 1 species